UUUUUUUUUUUUUUUUUUUUUUUGCAAAAUGUUGCAAUUCAGGGGUGAGUUGUAAUAUUAAUGGUUAUAAUAGUUGGUCACCUUUUUCUUUUUCUUUUUUUUUUUUUAUCUUUUUUGUUCUCAUCUGCUGUCCUAAGUGCAGCAAAUUAAAAAAAAAAAGGGUAAACAACAAAAAAGUCCUCUAUAGUAUAGCUAUUUUAUAGAAUAAUCCCCUAUGAUUUCAAUUCAUACACAUCGGUACCUCAUGGUUUGAAGUAAAGUGAAAAAUCAAAGGAAAUUGUUAAAUUCAAUGCGUGUGAUGUAAACGCGCUGGAAAUGGGCGUGGUUCUUCCAAAAAAUAGUUUUUGAAGGCAAAUUUUGAUCUAAAAUACCUAUUUUAUCCCUCGUACCUUAAUAAAACAACCAUGAUUCUUUUUCAAAUUUGUUCUAAUCUUGUAGAAAUCGACGUUUUUUGUUUAUAUUAUUAGUGAAUGAAACUAAUGAAUCAAAAAUCGGUUGUUUUAGGCUAUUUUGUCGCUUAUAUUAUAUGGGCAUUUCUGUCAUUUCACUCAAAAUCGUUUCUUUUAACGAUUUCCGUCAAUGUUCAAAUUACUUCAAAUCAUGAGAUACCAACACAUAUGAUUCGAAAUCAUAGGGGGUUUUCUGUAAGAUAGCUAUACCACAAGGGUUUUUUUGUUGUUUACCCAAAAAAAAAAUCUUCUUAAGAAAACUACCUUAUGUUGGUGAAAUUUUUUAUCAUGUCAUGAAAUAAUCCCAGCAAUACUUACAAAAUUUCAUUCUAGUCCUCAAAUUGGAGAUAUACAUAAGUUGAAAGUAGGACUGAAAGAUAAACCAAACUAUUUGAUACUCGAAUUGAAUUUGGUUUGGUAAGAAUUCAUUCAAAUUUGAUUCACCAACUAAUUAGACCAAAGAUAAACAGCGUUUUAUGUUUGAUAAACAUUCAAACUCGAUAAAAAAAAAAAAACUUGGUCAAACUUGAUUUAGUAAAUAAAUAAACCAAGUUUGAACAAAAUUUUAAAUUUGUUAAAAUUUUAAACUUGUUAAAAUAAUUAAAUAAAUUUGAACACUAGGAUGUUCGACUUGAUUAAACUUGUUGACAUCCUUAGUUAAAUACAACGAAAUACUUUCUCGUUGUCGUUGCAUUCACUAUAUCAGAUUAUACAAUAAGAUUGUUCUAACUUGUAACUUCUUAAAUUCUGCAAAUUGUCUAAGAAUUAAAGAGUAACAUUAUAACAUAGUUAAGGAUAGAGCUGCCUCUGCUAAUUAACUGACUUGCUUUACACAAAAUUUUUUGUCUAGAGGGUAUCCAAAAAUUGACUAUUUGGUUAUGUUAGGGGGCCACCCUCUGAACUUGAAUCCAUAUCCACGCCCCCUCAUGGCUUUGUCAUCCCUAAUUCCCUAUCAUAAACGGAACUAGAAAGUUUACUUUGACAAUGCAAAUUUUAAUAUUUUGCAUUCAAGUAUGUAAUAUAUGAUAUUUUUAAUUUUUGCAUGGGCAAAUAUCUAAACUUGUAAAGAAUAUUUUUAAAAUUUUUUAAUUUUCUAAGGGAUAAAAAUCUAAACUUAUAGAACUGUGGAGGAUCAGGGACUCAAACGAUUGCUGUUUGAGUCGAUUUUGCUUCAUUUUUUACGGGAUGUAAAUUACUUUUAAUAACUUGUAAAUAUAAAAUAAAAUUAUGUGAAAUUCAAAUAUGGUGUUAAAAUUGAUGAAUAUGAUGUAAUUUAGGACUUAUAUAUAAAUAUAUAUUGGUCAAAACACGGCUGUCAAUCUUUCGGGACGAUUGCUACUUGCCCCAACCGUGGGGGAAAUAGGACAGGUGGCCCCUCCUGCCACUCCUUCUGUUCCCUCUAUGAUCUCCUCACUACUUAUUGACUCAAUCCGAAUGCUUCAUUCUAGCCCCUCCUGGUACAUCGAGUGGUUUCGGUCCCUCAUCAGGAUAUAUCGAUCACGAUUCGAGUCUCAGGAGUACCUUGCUCGAAGUUCAGCUUGGACGCCUUUCCCCGGGCCCUGGGGGAUUACUCGAGUUUCAAGGCCCGGAUACCCUUAGGCGAAAAAAGAAAAGAAAAGAAUGCUUCAUUCUAGAGUUUUUCUUAGCUGAGAUUAAUUCUUGUGAUAAUUAUAAGUCGGCCGCUGAAUUCUUUGACGAAUAAUUUAACAAAGAUAGCUGUCCCUACAGGUCUACACAAUUUGACAAUAUUGCUCCAUAUUGUCAUUCAUGGAAGUGCCGGCAUUCACGAAGUGGGAGAUUUUUGCUUCAGCAGCCAUGGCCUUUUCUUUUCCCCCUUUUUGGGGCAUGCGACCAGAGGGAGAGUUGCAAUAAACAAUUUCUUCCUUAUUUUUCCCUUCCAAAAACCAUUAAAGGGUUAAACUUUAUUUUAUUUUAUCCGAAAUACUCAAAAUUAAAGGUAUUAACCACAAUCCAAUUAUAUUGAUCCGUUGAAACCCGCUUACUAAUAAGUGGACUUGGGUCUGUAAUGAACUUUAAAUGGGUCUAAAUAAACAUACAAUUAAGCCCAUUUAAUUGAUGGAUAGUGGGUUGAUUUGGUUCAUCAAUUUAUAUCGAUUUAAAAAUAAAUAUGCAUUUAAAUUCAAUUUUUAGUGGAUGUUAAGUGGACAAAUUUGAAUUUUUUUAUCAAUCUAAUAUUAAAAAAAUGUCGUUAUUUCUUGUUAAACAACGUGCAAAAAAUAAGAAAAAAUAAAUAAAAUUUCAAGUGAAUCAUAAAUUGGUAAUUGAAUAUGUAUCUAUACCCAUUUCUUAAAUAGAUAUAAAUAGACUGACUCAUUUUGACUUAUUUAUUAAAUGAGUAUAAAUAAGUUGAUCUAAUUAUAUUUAUUACUCAAUUAUGACCCGUCCAAACCCUCCAUAAUUAUCCAUUUUGACGCCUCUACUUAAAAUUGUCGAAGUUCAAUGGAACUAUAACAUUUGAGUCAUUGAGGCGGCUCCCUCAAGUGGGGGUUGGUUAUUGGAUGUAUGCACCACGGAUGAUUUAUAUCCAUUAGAAACCUUAUUGAGUUAUCCACUUGUAGGCCUUUGAAAAUACCAACUUGCAAUAGAUGAUAUGUGCGAAAUCUGGUGUAAGUAUAGAUGCAUGUCAGAUAUGUAAAAAGAAAAUUUUGAAUUUGAAUACAUGGGCUAAUUCAUAAAAAGUUUAAAAUUAAGUAAUUAUAUCUUUUUUCAAGCUAUGGCUGAUGGUGAUCCAACCAUCUACAUUAGAAAAUUUUGUUAGUGACAUCCAUAUGGCUAGUGAGCAAUAAGAAGUUUCAAAUCACAAGUUGACAAAAACUUAGCAAAGCAAUCCUAGGUCUGUGGUGCCACUUAAUUGUUGUCUUGAGGUUCUGUCAUUUAUCAAGGAGUUAUAUUCUCAUUCUUAUUGAACGGACGACCAACUAUUUUUAGGUUUAUUCAUUUAGCGCCUGUUUUUAUCGGCCGUCGGCUAGGGUUCCGUCAUGUCUAGAAGAGCCAAAAUAGAUAAACAAUUCUAUUUUCUGGCCUAAGUCCUUGGUGCAUCUCUCCGUUGGGUGGUUCCCAUUUAUUUUUUGGAGGAUUUUCUUCUUUGUCUUUCACUUCUCCUUGCCGGCCAUUUGGCAACCUUAUCUUCUUCCUUCCAGUAGACCAAGAGAACAAUGAAGUAUUUUUGGGCUUUAAUAUAGUUCUGAUUUGUGUAUUUUUUACAACAUUUGGUGUUUCCCUAAAUAAUUAAGUUAGUAUUCUUAUAUAUUAAGCUGUUAUAUGUGAAUAAAAUUUACCUGUACGACAAAGUUACACAAAAUCAUUUAAGAAAGAUAUCAACUCAACAUAAAAAGUCAACUAAAUUCUUACUAAACUUGUCACAUUCCAAACUUUGGAUUAACUGUUUUUGGGGAUAUUUUUGAAAAAUUUUGCUGUAGCAGAGUUUUUAGAUUAUAUUUUGGGAUAUUUUUAGAAAAUAUUUUGGGAUAUUUAAGAGUAGAUGAGUCUCUAGAAUAUAUUUUGAGAUAUUUUUUAAAAUUUUAAAAAAAUUUAAACUAAUUUUUAGAUUACCUUUUAGAGUACUUUUUAAAAUUUUUUAUUAUUUUUGAAAAACACUCCCAUCCAAACAGAGCAAUAAUUUUCCACGACUAUAUUUGAAGCAUUAAUUGGGUACUCCCGAUUUAAAUUCUUCAUAGUGGCCAUCCGGGAUUACAGUCACCUUCCUUGUAGCAGAUCAAGAAAAUGUACUUCUAUUUCUAAAAGAAGAAAAUUGUGUAGUACACGAUUUCAUUUGAACCGUUUAAAGGUUAAGAAUCAGAUUAAAAAAACGAAGCAGCAUUGUAAUAAUUUUCUAAAACUAGAAAUGCAUUUGGAAUUUCCCGAGUAAUUAGAUGCAAAGUUUUAUGAGUGUACAUUUUUUAAAAGUAUUUGUUAUACUUGGUUUUAAAAAAAAUGAAUUGUGCAUGUGAACUUUGUCUGUCAAUUUUAUGCUUGUUUUCGUAUAAAUAAAAUGCAAAAAUUAGUAAUGAAUACAGCACUAAAAUUUCUUUGAAAAAAAAAAAUUCUAUUCAGGUAAGUUAGUCAAAAAAGUUCCAAUUUUUUUUGAGAUUCUUUCCGAACAGGUUAAAAUUCUCUGAGCUUCUUUCCGCACAGGUUAAAAUUCUUGAGGAGGGAAAAAAAUGACGGACUUCAAAUGAUAUGAAGCUGAAGUGUUAUAGCCGCCUUAAUACAAUAAUAGAACAACAGGGAAAAGGAUGAAAUUUGACCACCCACUCCAUAGGUAUUGAAGAGGUCGUUUUUGCCCUGCUGGAGUGAGUCACCCGAGUUGGAGAAGACCUCUUAUCCUGGGUAGUUAUCUUAGAUGAGGUCACCUGCUUAAAUUGUAGGAGGGACUAAAGUCCCCGGUAUAACUCCGAAACUUAAGUCAGUUCGGGAGUGAAAGAGUAAUAAGUAUAGAGAAGACUAGUAUGCCUUUACCAGAAAUUUGGCCGUCCCACUUCUCAGUAGAGGUGCUGAGUAUUUAUAGAAGUCAGAUAGGAGAGAGGGACUGCUUGCACGGGUCCCUAGAGAUCUGGCAGGGUCAGCGUAUCAAGAUGACUUGAUGGACUCUGCGGAAAGGUACGCCGGAACAGUUGUGUGUCAGGCGGCGCAUGUCAGGGCAGCUUUAUCAGAAAUGUCAGAGGUAUCAGAGACCAUGUUCCACAACUCCGGUUGCCAGGUCAUUAUACUUGACUUCGGCUUGGUGAGGGAAAACCUUGGCCGAGGCGGUAACUAGGCCGAAGUCGAUUCCCGAUGGUGAAAGGCCGAGGCAGUCGGAACGAAGAAACACAGGACGGGAUCCCAGCUCUAGGCGAGCUGGAAAUACCCUCCUCACUAAGCCCCCCAAGCUUCGGGAAGAGCGAGAUCGUGGUCUCACGAGGUCAUCACUUCCCGAGGCUGACACGCGUGUGGAAUACGGAACAGGAUUAGGACACGUCACGACUGUGGAGAUGUGACUGGGGAAAGGUGAAACGGGGGCUGGCAGCUUUAACGUCGGAUCAAUACGAUCGAUUGUCAGGUGAACAGUACCUUCAUUAAUGAGGGGAGAGAGAGAGCUUUAGGGAAUCCCAAAGAUCGCGUCUCUUCGGUUUCCUCCUAUGGCCUAUAAAUAGGGGUCUCUUUUCACCGUUCCAUUUUUUACCAAAAUUCGAAAUCACCUCAGAGCUCCGUCUUUCUGCUUAUUCAUUUCGGCAGUCUUUCUGAACCACAUCUUCUCCAGCAACUUCUUUCUGCAUUCCCUAAGUAAGUUCACUUCUUCUCUUUGUGUUAAUGGCUAGAACAGCUCGCACAUUCAAAGAGACGGUGAGGCCUGACUUCACCGAGGCAGAAAGGCCCGACCCUUCCGAGGAGAGAACGACCUCCAACGCCGAGGAAGGAGGUGGGGAAGCGUCUGAUCGAGCCCGGGGAGGAGGUGCGGAGGCAUCCCGCCGAUCUGAGUCUCCGGCAGAGCAGGCCGAAGAGAUUGAGAUCGAUCCCGAGGUCUUGUACAAUGAUGACCUCGGGAAUGAAGUCCCUAGGGACGUAGGUGUACAGGAGCUCUCCACUCCUCCAAACGUGGCCACGCUAAACUAUGGCCAGAUGCCGGCCUUCACCAGUGCGGUGGAUCAAGCUUCCAUAGCCGAGGUGAUCCGCAAGUACCCGUGGAGGAGGGAGUACAGUAUUUACCUCACGCGCCCACAUCAGUCCGCCGCCCUGCCUCCAAAGGGUAUGGUAGCUAUCUACAUAGAACAGCUGGAGGCCGGACUCAGGGUGCCCACCACAAGGUUUCUUCAGGACUGCCUGAGGUACUGGGGGGUGAGGAUUACUCAGCUCACCCCAAAUGCAAUUCGUAUCCUCGUCGGCUUCCAGCUACUCUGCCGACAUCAAGAGAUAGAGCCGAACGUCAACCUCUUCCGCCGUUGUUAUUCACUCAAGAACAGUGGGAGCGAGAAGGGGUGGUUCUACUUCGGGAACAAGGUUCCCAAGUUUGUAUAUGAUGCCCCGAGCUCAAUAAAGGAGUGGAAGAAUAACAUUUUCUUCGUCCCGGCUGAGGACUUCCCCAGGGGAUUCUGGUGGAGACCUCCCAUUUCGGUCAAAGAAACCUCCCCGGGCAAAUUGGAAGAACGCAACUUCCAAAAGUUGACGGGGUCGGGCCUGAAGAUUAACUGUUGGGACUUCCCUGAAAGAGUGCUCGUGAAGGGCGAGCUCAGCCGAGCCUUGAUCAGCUCGGACUUUCCCGUCCUCAUCUUCACUAGGCUUCACAUACCUCGUACUUUUCCACUUCUCACUUUCUUGUUUGUUUUCCUUGAAUUCUAACUAACUUCAUUUCGUGCUUCGCAGUAAUGAGGGUUUCCGACCUGAUUAUCUCGGGAGAGGUCGAGGUGGCAAAGAGGCCAGCAAAAAAGCGCAAGGACGCUGGUGAGUCCUCUUCCAGGCCGGCUAAGAAGACCACUGCAGCGGCAGGCACUCGCGAACCUGCCGUGGUGAUUAUAGGUGAGGGGUCGCAUACCUCGGACACGCCGGGAAGAUCCAAAGCGUCCAUUCCAGUGGGAGUUCCAUCCCAUGGAGUAACCAUAGCCUCUCAACCUCGGGGGCGGGGUCGAGGUGCGACCGUUGUCCAGGGUGACUCCGUCUCGGGGAACUCAUUAUUCAACCUCCACCACGUGCCCUCUCUAGCAGCCGGGGAGGACAAGAGGCACUCCGGAGCACAAUUUUGCCCGGAGUGGUCGGUCAAUGUCAAUGACCGCUGCAAGAAUCCCCAGGUCGCGCACGAGCUCCUGGUGAAUUCAGUCCUGCCACGGGACAAUACUUACACCAGGAAACUCAAUUCGGCCGAGCUGAUGCAGGGCGCCUCGGUUUCUUGGGCUUCCACCACGGCGUUCCUCGCUGAGAUGUACCAACGCUUUGGUGACUUCAUAGAGACUUAUGAAUCCCCUGCCGAGCUCCAGAAGAAGAUCGCCGACCUGGAGGGGAAACUAAAGGCCGUCGAGCUGGCACGUGACAAGGCCGAGGCGGCGAAGAAGAAGGCCGAGGUCUCGAAUAACUCCCUCAUAACUGCUCUUGAUGAGGAGAGGGAGAAGAGAGCUCAGGAAGAACAAUCAUCCAAAGUGGCCAUAGACACAGCCGGGGCCACCGCCGUGGAAGCAUUCCGGAAGUCGGAGUCUUUCAUUCGCGACCUCGGUGAACUCACUCGGCCGAGCUUCAUGUUCAGCUAUACGUCGGCCAUUAAUGAUGCGGCACCCUUUCUUCCCCCUGAGCAGCUGGAGUCCUUCCAGAGUGCCUCACACUACAAUGAGGAUGCCAAGAAAUUAUGUGACCGCGUGGGUGAGGGCAUCCAGGCUGGAAAGGACCUGGCCGAAGUCCGAGCUGAAUUCAACAAGUGGCUCCAGGAGUUCGAGCUGGAUGGUGACAGUGCUGAAGGGGACCAGGCCGGUGGAGGAGAGGAAGAACAGCAGGAUGCUGGACAGCAGGAUGCCGAGGCAGGCGGAGAGACCCUGGGAGGACAGGACCCCAGGGCAGGAGGUGCUUAGAAGCACUCAUGUUUUGUAAUAGAGGGCCGAGGUCAACUACGACCUCGACAUUUCACUUUUGUAAUUAUGACCUCGGCCUUUUGCUUUUCAUGCUUCAAUAAAGUUGGGUUUUGCAUAUUGUCUUCUUUUCAAUUGAGUUCAGUUUUUCUUUCUUUUAACUACUGCUUUGUCCCCUUAUUUGUUACUUGUAAUGAAAUAAGAACGAGUGAGAAAUAACUUAAAGAAGUGGACAGAAAGAACACGUACCCUUCAAGGGUAGUAUAAUUUAAGAUUUUCAGCAUGCCAAAUUCGGGGUACCCGAGAUCCAUCUCGGUAUGCCAAUUUACGAUAUCCGUUUUGGCUGGAUUCAACAACACGAUAUGGUCCUUCCCACUUUGGAUUGAGUUUUUCCUGAGUCUCAGCUCGGCUAACCGAGUUCUUCCGGAGCACAAGGUCUCCCGGACUGAACCUUAAAUGUUUGACCCGAGCAUUGUAAUAGCCAGUUAGGAUAUUUUUGUAGAUCGCAACUUUGGCCGCGGCCAUAUCACGCUUCUUUUCGGCGAGGUCGAGGUCAACUUGCCGCUCCUCUUCAUUGACUUCGGCAGCAUACGCAGCCAUUCGCGGGUUGGGUGUGAUGAACUCGGCUGGAACGACGGUCUCAGACCCAUAAGUUAGGGAAAACGGCGUUUCUUGAGUCGCUGACCUCGGCGUAGUCCGGUAGGACCACAGCACGCUAGGGAGCUCUUCCAUCCACGAUGAUCCAGCUCGGUGAAGCCUGGUCUUGAGGCCAUGGAGGAGAGUUCGGUUGAAAUUUUCGGCUUGUCCAUUCGCCUGAGGGUGCCCCACCGAGGUGAAAUGUUGUUUGAUCCCUAAGUUCUCGCACCAUGCCUUGAAAGGGUUAUCAGCGAACUGCCUUCCGUUAUCCGAGAUGACAACUCGAGGCAGUCCGAAGCGACAGACCACGUUUUUCCAGAAAAAUUUUUGGACAGCCAUUCCGGUGAUGCUUCUCAGGGGCUCUGCUUCGACCCAUUUAGUGAAAUAGUCCACUGCCACCACCACGUAGGCAUAGUUGCCUGGGGCUCUGGGGAAUGGACCGAUUAUGUCAGUCCCCCAUUGCUCGAAUGGCCAUGGCGAAGUGAUGGGGAUCAUAAGAUUAAUCGGUUGGUGGUGCUCAGAGGCAUGGUGUUGACAAGAAGGGCAACAAAGAACCAUGACCUGGGCAUCUACCCUCAUGGUGGGCCAAAAGUACCCGAGGAGCAGAGCUUUCUUCACGAGCAUCUUGAAGCCGACGUGGGCACCACAGAGUCCCUCAUGAAUGUCCUCGAGGAUUCUCUCGCCUUCUUCCGGGGUGAUACAUCGUAGCCAGGGGCCGAGGUAGGAUCUCUUGUACAAGAGGCCUUGCCGGAGGGUGUACCGAGCUGCUUUUCGUUGAAGCUUCCGUGAUUCAGCUCGGUCUUCUGGGAGCUCACCCCGACUGAGAUAUCGAAUCAGGGGCCCCAUCCAGGUGUCCCCAGGGUAGACGGGGUACACGACCUCAGCUAAAUAUCCCGGCUCAGCUAGAACUUCUACGAGAACUGUCUUGUUCAGAUCGGAGAAAGAGGUAGAAGCAAGCCGGGAGAGGGCGUCAACCCUUCUGUUUUGUGACCGCGGUAUUCUUUGGAUUGCAAAAGACUCGAAGUGUGCCACCAAUUGAAGAACCUUGGAGAGGUACCAAUGCAUCACCUCAUCCCUGGCCUCGUAUUCACCUAGUAUCUGGCACACAACGAGUUGGGAGUCGCUGUAGACCAAGAUAUGCGCGGCCCCGAGCUUUCGAGCUAGUUGUAAGCCGGCAAUGACAGCUUCGUAUUUGGCUUUAUUAUUUGAGACUACGAAAUCAAACCUUAAGGCAUACGAGCAAAUUUCUCCUUGGGGAUCUUCGAGGAGCAGGCCGGCUCCACUACCCUCACUAUUGGAUGAACCAUCCACAUGCAAGGUCCAUCGUUGAGGCUCGGCGCUGGACGAGGUGACAGCCUGGGUUGUAGCCGGGAUGGUCUCACUCACUUUCUCAAAAGUAAGCUCGGCAAAGAAAUCCGCGAGAGCCUGGGCUUUAAUUGCCGUGCGAGGCUCAUAAGAUAAGUCGUAUUCUCCCAGCUCGAUGGCCCAUUUGGUGAGGCGUCCAGAGGCCUUCGGCCGCGAUAGGACCUGCUGAAGUGGUUGGUCUGUCCUUAGGCAGACGUGAUGGGCCAAGAAGUAGGGCUUAAGUCUACGAGCUGCAUGGAUUAAGGCCAGCACAAGUUUCUCCGCCUGAGUGUACCUGGUCUCCGGAUCUCGGAGGACUCGGCUGACAUAAUAAACAGGUGUUUGGGCAUCUUCCUCCCUUAUCAGUACGGCACUUACGGCUUCAGCCACAGCAGACAGGUACAAGAAUAACCUGUCCCCUGGACGAGGUGAGGUGAGUGUUGGGAGGCGGUUGAGGUAAUCCUUCAACUGCUCAAACGCCCGUUGACACUCUUCCGUCCAGGAAAAUUUGUCAGCUUUCUUGAGAACUUUGAAAAAUGGCAGUGCCUUGGAGGCGGAUUGUGAUAAAAACCGGUUCAGGGCGGCCAAUCGCCCCCUGAGCCUCUGGACGUCGCGGACGCACCGUGGUGGGGACAUUUCUUGGAUGGCUCUCACCUUGUCCGGAUUUGCUUCAAUACCCCGCCUAGAGACGAGGUAGCCCAGGAACUUUCCCGAAGUGACCCCGAGAACACAUUUCUUGGGGUUCAGCAUCAUUCGUGUCUCCCGAAGAACUUCCAGGACUUCUUUCAGGUCGGCAAGGAAUGUGGAGGUUGUCUGGCUCUUCAAGAGGACAUCAUCUACGUUAGCCUCGGCAGUCCGGCCGAUUUGAGAUUUAAAGGCUUGAUUAACCAAGCGUUGAUACGUGGCCCCGGCAUUCUUCAAUCCAAAAGACAUGGUGGUGUAACAAUAUGUGCCUCUGUCGGUGUAGAAGGCGGUCUUCUCCUGAUCCUCCGGACUCAUCCCAAUCUGGUGAUAUCCUUUGAAGGCAUAAAAAAAGCAGAGGACAUCAUAACCCAUUGCCGAGUCUACCAAGGUGUCGACCUUGGGCAACGGGUAGCAGUCCUUGGGGCAAGCCUUGUUGAGGUCGGUGAAGUCGACGCACAUUCUCCAGUCCCCGGUGUCUUUCUUUACCAUGACCGGGUUGGACAAUCAGGUCGGAUAUUGGACCUCCCGGAUGAUCUUUGCAGGGAGGAGCUUGUCUACCUCCUCGCCCACAGCUCAGCUGCGCUCAGGGCCGAGGCGCCUUCUUUUUUGUUUGACCGGACGGACUUGGGGAUCGACAUUCAGCUCAUGUAUCAUGAGAUGAUGCGGGACUCCUUGAACCUCUUCUGCGGCCCAAGCAAAGACGUCCCGGUACUCUUUGAGGAGGUCCACCAUAGCUCUUUUGACAGGGCCGGGCAGUCGGGACCCAACACGAACUGUCUGGUCAGGCUUCGUGGGGUUGAGAGGGAUCUCCUCCACCUCAUCCCCAGUCUCCAGCCUUGGGAUCUUCUCAGCUCGCUGAGGAUCAAUGCUAUCUAUCGAGAGGAUAUUUGACCUCUUCUCGGGCCUUGCCCCGGAGGUUGAUGGGGAGGCUGCUUGUAGAGUGGCGAGGUAGCAUUCUCGGGCAGCGCAGACGUCGCUGCUGACUUCGGCCACUCCCGCAGGAGUAGGAAACUUGAAGCUUAAGUGGUAGGUGGAGUAUACUGCCCGCAAAGCAUUAAGUGUUGGACGACCUAGGAGUAGGUUGUACGGCGAGUCAGCCCUAACUACUACGAAGUUAACGGGGAUAGUUCUGCAGCGGGGGUGACGCCCUACAGUCACUGUCAAAGCCACCAUCCCUUCGGGGUGCACAAUGUGUCCCCCGAACCCAACAAGAGGGGUUCUCACCGGGGUUAUGCACUCCCUAACCAGUUUAAGGCUCUCAAAGGUACGGAGGUACAUGACGUCAACUGAACUUCCCGGGUCAAUGUAAACCUUUUUCACGAUGUAGUUAUUGGUGAGGAUUUCAAUCACCAAGGCUUCAUGACUGCUGGAGGCAGCCGGGACGGGGUCAGUAGGACCAUAGGAAAGGACUUCGGACAGGCGAGAGCUCGAUUCUGCCUGGUCCGGAUUAGCCUGCCUGUAGGUCCUCUUCCGGGAGUUCUGGCUAUCCCCUCCCGUCGGACCUCCGGCAAUCGUAUUGAUGACCCCGACUAUGUUGGAUCCAUACCCUAAUCCAUGUCCAGAAGAUCCAUCUCGGGGAGGCCUUUUUGUCUCCCUAGGUUCCUCUGGAGGCCUGCAACUGCUCCUAGAGGGUCGCCUUUCAUCUCGGCGUUGAUCACCCCGGCUAUCUCGUCGGGGUUCAUUACGUGGCUGUCCGCCACUUCGGCGGAUGAACUGCUUCAGGUGACCCUGUCUGAUGAGGUUCUCGAUCUCUUUUUUGAGAUCGUUGCAGUCCUCAGUUUCGUGCCCGACGUCCCGGUGGUACAGACAGUAGAGGUUCGAGUUCCUCUUGUCUCUGUUGCCGAACAUUUUGGGAGGGGCUUUCCCGAGGUUGUUCUGUUCCAUUACAGACAGCACGCGAGAUCGGGAAGUGUUUAAGGGAGUCAGUUCGGAUUCAGGAAUGGGUGACUUUCCCUUUGAGAUCCUGUCGAACACACUCCGGCGAUCUCGGCCGGGACUCUGGAAGCCACUUCCUGUCCCCGCUUCACUUCAGCUAGGCUCCUUCCCUCUUCGGGCGUCAACCCUCGGGCGAGCAGGUUGGACUUCUUUUUUCAUGCGGUUGAGGUCCUCGGCCUGUAUGCCCUUCUCGACCUUCAACCACAAUUCGUGGAGUGAACGGGGAUACUUCUUGUGGAUCCCCGUGUUGAAUACCCCGGCAACGAGCCCAUGGGUGAAAGCGGCAAUGGUGACCUGCUCAUUAGGGUUAGGUAUCUGCACGCUUUCUUCGUGGAACCUCUGGACAUACGACCGAAGUGAUUCCCCCGGGUUCUGCUGCAUAUUCAGCAGAUAAGCCGAGGUCCGGGUCGUCGGUCGGGAGGAAACAAAACGGUGAAGAAAUUUCUCCACUAAUUCCCCCAGAGUUGAAAUGCUUCUAGGUUUUAGACCCCAGAACCAUUUUCGAGCUGUCCCCUGGAGGAAUACUAGAAAAGCCCGGCAUAUGACGGGAUCAGGGAUGCAAUAUAGGCGGAAGGCCGAGAUGAAGGCAUGAAUGUGGUCUUCCGGAUCACCUCGGCCGUCAUAAGACGGUAUCGAGGGAAGCUUGAAGUUGGGAGGAAGUCUCUCCUCGUUGAUGUCAUCGGUGAAGGGUGGAUCCCUCUGGUAAUCCACCCCGGCUCUCUCCAUGGGCCGAGAUUCCUUAGGUCGUCGGCCCAAAAGCCCUCUUGAUAAAGACCUGGUCAGGGAGGAUACCUUAGAGAUGGCCUUGGAGAAUGCUUUCUUCGAAGCACUUCGGCUCAAGCGUCUCCCAUCGGACUCUUCUUCGGACGAACCUUCAGGGGAUCCAUCCGACUUCCUUUUAGAGGACUCGAGCUUUUGCUUGCCUUGUCUCUUGAGAUACCUCCCUAACUCCUCGAAAAUGUUAGGGUUCUCGGUCACAAACUCGGCCAUACGGGUUAUGGCUUCUCCGUUUGCGGGCUGGGUCCUUGGGGAUUCUUGCCCUUCAGAGAUACCUUCUUGCUGAGCUACAUUACUCUGCUCAGCCCCAAUAGUGAGAGCUUUCCUGCUCCUAGAACGCGUAGGCUUCAUUCUUUGAUGUCUUCGCGUUCCCACAGACGGCGCCAAUUAAAGAGGUCGUUUUUGCCCUGCUGGAGUGAGUCACCCGAGCUGGAGAAGGCCUCUUAUCCUGGGUGGUUAUCUCAGAUGAGGUCACCUGCUUAAAUUGUAGGAGGGACUAAAGUCCCCGGUGUAACUCCGAAACUUAAGUCAGUUCGGGAGUGAAAGAGUAAUAAGUAUAGAGAAGACUAGUAUGCCUUUACCAGAAAUUUGGCCGUCCCCUUUCUCAGUAGAGGUGCUGAGUAUUUAUAGAAGUCAGAUAGGAGAGAGGGACUGCUUGCACGGGUCCCUAGAGAUCUGGCAGGGUCAGCGUAUCAAGAUGACUUGAUGGACUCUGUGGAAAGGUACGCCGGAACAGUUGUGUGUCAGGCGGCGCAUGUCAGGGUAGCUUUAUCAGAAAUGUCAGAGGUGUCAGAGACCAUGUUCCACAACUCCGGUUGCCAGGUCAUUAUACUUGACUUCGGCUUGGUGAGAGAAAGCCUUGGCCGAGGCGGUAACUAGGCCGAAGUCGAUUCCCGAUGGUGAAAGGCCGAGGCAGUCGGAACGAAGAAACACAGGACGGGAUCCCAGCUCUAGCCGAGCUGGAAAUACCCUCCUCAGGUAUCUUUCCAUCUUAGCAUAUGCACAACGACAUUACGUUCGGGCUAUACUGGUAGUGUACAGUAAAACUUGUACUCUAUCCGUUUUAUUUAAUUUGUUACAUGGUAUAAAGUACAUUAAUUCUUUUGCAGUAAUGUUCAAUUUAGUGGAAGAUCAGUAGUUGAAACUGAUCAAUAUUUAUAACAUGUUUGAGGAACAAAAAAAGGAAAGGGGGGCAGUAAUAUUUGUGAAAAAUUAAAUGAGAUGAAUAGAUAUUUCCAUAGCAAUAUGAAGUUAUAAAUAUCAAGGCAAAUCCUUUGCAGGCAUAGCAAGCAACUGUAUUAUUAUAUAGUCAAUCUCAUCUCCCUUCUCUCUUUUCAUUUUGCUGAGUAACUUACGAAAGUAAAAGCUCUGAAAAAUGGAUUCUGAAAGCUGCAAUAGUCUUUCUCCUAACCCUCAUGUUUUUCUAGUGUCGUUUGCAGGGCAAGGACAUGUUAAUCCUCUGCUCAGACUAGGCAAGCUCCUUGCUUCAAAUGGUCUUCUGGUGACCCUUUCAGCACCAGAGAUCAUUGGUGCACAAAUUAGAAAGGCCAAUAGUAAUAUCAGUACUGAUGAGCCGACCCCAGUCGGUGAUGGAAUGAUCAGGUUUGAAUUCUUUGAUGAUGAAACAGAAGUGAUUAGUGACUAUGACCUGUACAUUCUUCAUCUUGAGUUCAUUGGCAAGCAAAAACUCCCUGAACUGAUCAAGAAACAAGAGGGAGAAGGUCGCCCUGUUUCUUGCCUAAUUUACAGCAUUUUUGUUCCUUGGGUUUGUGAUAUAGCCGAGACCCUUCACAUCCCUAGUGCUGCAUUUUGGAUCGAGUCUUGUGCCUGCUUUUCAGCUUUUUACCACUAUCACCAUGGCCUUGUUCCUUUCCCCACUCAAGCUGAACCCCAAAUCGAUGUUCAACUGCCCUGCAUGCCUGUGCUGAUGCACGAUGAGAUACCGAGUCUCUUACAUCCUUUCAACCCAAAACCAGUUAUGAUCAAGGCCAUCUUGGGCCAGAUCAAGAACCUAUCGAAAAGUAUUUGCAUAUUGAUGGAUACUUUCCAGGAGCUUGAAGAUGAUGUCCUUGACUAUAUGUCAAAGCUUUGCCCAGUCAAGCCUAUAGGGCCAUUGUUCAUCAAUCCCAAAGUCUCAAGCUCAAAUAUAAGUGUUGAUAUUUUGAAGGCUGAUGACUGCAUGGGGUGGCUCGACUCAAAGCCACCGUCUUCUGUCGUGUACAUCUCUUUUGGAAGCGUCGUUUUCUUGAAGCAAGAACAAGUCACGGAGAUUGCAUAUGGAUUGCUGAAUUCUGGGGUCUCAUUCUUGUGGGUGAUGAAGCCGCCCGAGAAACUAUACUCCAGCAAGCCACAUGUUUUACCAGAUGGUUUCUGGGAAAAGGUUGGUGAUAAAGGGAAGGUAGUGCAAUGGAGUCCACAGCAACAAGUGUUGGCACAUCCUUCCAUUUCCUGCUUUUUGACUCAUUGUGGAUGGAACUCGACUCUGGAGGCACUUGCUUCUGGAGUGCCGGUUUUAGCUUUUCCCCACUGGGGUGAUCAAGUCACCAAUGCCAAGUACUUGGUCGAUGAAUUUAGAGUUGGGAUAAGGAUGUGUAGAGGAGUGGCGGAGGACAAAAUUAUUCCAAAGGAAGAGGUGGAAAAAUGUUUGGUCGAGGCCACAUGUGGUCCGAAGGCAGCAGAGAUUAAAGAGAGUGCGUUGAAGUGGAAGAAGAAGGCUGAGGAAGCCGUGGCACUAGCCGGUUCCUCUAACCAAAAUAUGCAAGACUUUCUCAAUCAAAUCAUCUUGAGAUCCAAGGUCAAGCUGUAAAAUACGUUCUCGUGCCACUGAUGACACAUGACCAAGUAUGGUAGCAUGAAACUAUCAAAUGUUAACUAAGGGUGGUGGAUUUUGAAAGAUGCCUAAAUGUAGCAAUUAUGGACAAACUUAUUUAUAGGUCUAUAAGUGGAGUCAUGAACUUAGUUCACCUAACUAUUUUAUGGACUUUAGAAAUGGUAAAUGUAAGAAAAAUUUUAUUUGGGUUAGUGACCAAGUACUUAGUCUUUGAAUUUUUUUUUUUAAGAGGAUCGAAACUCAAGAUCUCUUACUUGUAAUUUUGCUCAACUUACAACCAAUCCAAUCCUCCUCCUACUUAGUCUUUGACUUGAUAACACUAAUUGGACAAUAAUUUCCCACCAAUCUUAUUUAGAUAAUAUACUUCACAAUCUUAUUCAGAACAUUUUCGUUGGUCAAAGAUCAUUAUUAAACAUGUUAAGUACUCAAUUGAUCUGGAUUGACAUAAUUUUUCGUUCAAUGUCUACAAACACAAACCGUGUAUUGAUUAGAAAUUACACUGAACUUAUUUGUUGCUGUAUAGAUGAUAGCUUACUCUCCUCUCUAUUUUAACCCUUCAAAAAUGAAAAACAAAAAGAGGAGAAUGAAAAUCAUACAUUGUCUAAAAGAAAAUGUUCAUGGACUAUAGCAAUUAUAUAUAUAUAUAUAUAUACAUAUAUAGUUAAGGAAAACAUCAAAAGAUAGACAUAGUGAUUUGGAUUACAACCAAAAAAGCAUCAAUAGCACAUUUCUUGUCGUUAAUAAAUUAAUUUUUUUUAAGAAUUUUGAUUCCUUUCCAACGUGACUCCAUGCGAUGAGAGGCAUCAUCUUGUGUAUAAACUCCACACUUGAAGAAAUGGUCACUUCCACCUCUCCCAUCAGUUUCAAACAUUUGGACUCCAUCAAUGAAAACUGUGACUUUGCUAGCUUCCACAUCAUGAAUUACAUUGAGUUUGAACCACCUGUUGUCGAUGUUAGGGACUAUGACAGGAUUUUUAUAGUAUGAGAGGUUUCCAUUGUAAACUCUAAGCAUUAGAGUCGUAGCAUGAAGCUGUGCUCCAAAGACUUGCAUGAUGCACACACCAGAUGUUCCAGAUGGUACAUAUCCAUAACCUUCAAAUUGCCAAACCCCCGAAGAGUAAUCGUAACCCUGAAAGCAAAUUAGUGAGAAAAAGAUAAUCACCAUGUUUCUUUUAAUCUGUAGAAGGUCUACAAAAAAGAAAGGGUGAAAAACAAAAUGUUAGAGAUACAUGUUACUUUUAUUUCUUUAAGCUGCUAUAUGGACUUUAGGAGACAGGUUAUACCAACUAUGUACAUGGUUUCGCAAAACACAGCAGAAGAUUAUGUAUUUGAUAAAACAAAAAGUGAUUGUCUCGUCUUCGAAAGCUCAUAGGUCUUGGGAUGUUUUCCUCCCUUCUUUCCUUUAGAUUCGGAUUUUGGCUCUCAAUAAUUGAUACGACUCUUGACGAGGAGCUGUUUAUUGUUUGAUUAUUUCAUCUGAUUAUAUAUUUUGAUUUUUAAUGAUCAAUUUUCUUUUUUUGGUUGAUGUUCUCGUCUAGUACUUUUGCGUCUAGGUUUUAUAUUUUUCUUAUAGCAAAGGAUUUAAUACCGAAGAGUAGUUUUGAUUAAUUUUCAUUAUUCUCUAUAAUUACUUUUCACAAUUAACUUUAACAAAAUCUACUGCAAUCAAGAACAAGCUCAAAACCCUUCACUACUUUACAGUGAUCUCUUUGUAAUUAAAUUAAUUAACUUGAUCAAUAAUUUCAAACCUUGUGCCUCGAAGCCUAUUAACUAGUGAAAUGAUCACGCUGUGUGCUUCAAAAUUCAAAAGGUGCAAAACUUGUUUGUGUUAGAGAAAGUCCAAUUUCAGAAUUUACCCUUAAAUUUUCAGAUAAGCACCAUACGUAAUUGCUUUUACAAAACAUAUGCAGACUUGCUACCUUUUUUUUUUGUUCCAUAUAAAACUUGACCAAUAUGGCAAUCAUAAAUUUAGCUGCAAUAUGUAAACUUACCUCUAUUCGAAGUUCAGUACGAGGUCUGGUAUUGCUCGCAGGAAAAUGAGGUUUAUCGGUAUCGAAAACCCACAUUUUAUGAACUCCAUCAACGUACGAAUAUCGCUGAUCUACUGGCACGUUAUAAGGUCUUUGAAUUUCAAAGUUUGAUUGAUUUAGUGGAAGAGAAACGAAGCCAUCAGUUGGAUCAACAACCUUCAAAGCUUCUGUUUUGUGAUAUAUUGUUACAUUGAUGAAAAGGGUGAACAAGAAAGUGGUUAAAAGCUGAGGAGAAGAGGCCAUUGAGUUUGUUUUAGAUGAAAUGUCGAUGGAAGAGAAAAGCUAAUCAGGGCCUGAGAUUUAUAGGCAGCCUACAAUUGAAGGUGCAGAUUAAUUAUGCCAUUGCAUUCAUUGGUCUAUUAUAUAUUCUCAUGGGGUGAAAUCCAGAGGCAAUUAACCUUUCUUUUUACUGAAGAAUUCUUUACGUUCGGUUGAUGUUUCAGUUGUGGUAUGUGACAAAAUUUCAGUCAGAGGAUUUACAAAGUAUUUGGAAGAAACCAAAUUGUUGGAGAACAGAAUCAAACUUACAAUGUUUCCUUUGAGGUAUACAUUAUAUUAAGGUUUUAAUGUUACUGCUUUCUAUCAAAUAAGAUACUAAGGCUCUAGUUAGAUUCUAGUGUUGGUGUCUUUUUUUUUUUUUUUUUUUAAAACAAAUUGCUAUAUUGAGGGGCAGAGCUACAUUAACAAUUUUGCAGAGUUUAUAGAAUAAUCAUAAAAAAUUUACAGAGUUUUUAGAUUUUUGUCACAAUUGCUCCCCUCAAUUCUAAGAAAUAUCCUUCUCCCUUGAAAUUCCCCACCUAUAUUUUGAAAAAUCCUAUUCCCCAAAUAACCAAUAACUUUAGACAUCUCUCCUUUCGGUACAAUUGUUUCAAAGCUAAUUAAAGAAAAAAAAUUAAUACUACUUGAAUAAGUAACAAAUUUAUAAAAAUGUAAAAAUGACUUAAAAUAAAUACAUAAUUUCAAAUCAAAAUAUCUCAUUGCAUAGUAAUUUUAUCAUUUUUAAUGUAUAAUAUUGUCUUCACUGACCAAAGGUUCUGACUCCAUCAUUGACUAUAAAACUUUUUUUGCAUAAAGGUGUAUUAAAAAAAGGAUUAAUUUUUUAUACAUUGACAGCGUAUACACUUUCACUAUUAGAUGCAUGACACAUAAUUCAAAUUUGAAUUUGAAACUCAAAUUUUGCAUAUGUAUCGUAUAUCCAACCAUGAUAGUGUAUGCAUCGUCAAUAUAUAUAUAAGAUUUACUCUAAAAAAAAGCGGAGUAGGAGUACCAUUUUGAAAGUGUUUCAUAAGAAGAGCGGAACCAAAUAGUGAAGAUCUGCUCGUGUAUAUAGUGAAGACAUGCGAGACAAUGAUCCCCUAUUAACCAGAGAGUCAGGAAAAUAUAGUAGUUAAAAUUAUACUAAAAAAGAUAUUGAGCAAAUUAGACAAUUGUGGCAUAUAAAACGAGAUUGUUUGUUAAGGAAUUCAAAUUAAAGUAUGUUACUCAACUAGGGUAAUUUUUUUUUGGUCCUCAAAAUCCAAAUCACAAAAAAAAAAUAAAAAUGAAAUUAACAGCUCUACGUCCUUCCUACCCUCAAUUGUUAGGCACAAGAUUUGAACUCUGUAUCUGACAGUGAAGAUAACCGCCGAGCAUAUUCACCAUAGAAUACUGCAAACUAAAUGUUAAGGGGUUUCUUUUCUGUCUUGAAAUUGAAGUAUUUAUUGGAAAAAGAGAAAGUUGUCUUGUUAGAAGAUAUUCUUGCCUUUACAAAAGAAUUUACAGAAUGAAAAAUGCUUGACUUUAAGACUCAAAUAAUGCAUGCAACUUCCAUUCCAAUUUGUCUGGGGGAUAGCGCACUCAAGAAGUAGAAAAAAGAGUAGCAGGCUACAAAUAAUACGGCAACAACUAUUUGGGUGUGUACCCCUCAAUCCACGCACAAUCAAGAAAAUGCGUGUCUUGAAAGUUGAAAGCAACCCAUUCAAGACACCCCAAUUGGUCAACUGAACAAAAAAGGAAGUGUAUUUGCAGUUGGUUUUAUUAAGAAGCUUAGAUGGAUCGAGAUAAACAGGACGAAUUGGUAAACAACGUUGCUGUUCAUCAAAUCUGGGGAUACGGGGAAAAAACAAAAUAAUUACCGCAUUCUUUAAACACUUUCACACCAGUGAAUCCUACAUUGGCGACAAAACUCUCUCCCCAGAUUAGGACUAUUCGACAGCAUAAAAUUCGAAAAUUACUGCCACAGACAUCACAGCCAUGAAUUUCUGCCAUUUUGCAUUUGGAUGUCUACUUUAUUCAUAUACGUCUUCAUGGACAACAUAAUUUUUUAGAUGUUCCUAGAAGAAAAUGCAAAUGCAGUAAGUUGAAAUAAUAAAAAUUAGAAUAUUUCAAUCAAAGUUAGUUUGACGGGAUGAAUUAGAAUAAUAAUUUUUUUUUAAAAAAAAAAUUCUUGUCUUAUACUAUUACCAGUAAUGAGCAAUUAAAAAUUUCAUGACCAAAUGCAUACAUAGGCUUUUCAUAGACAAUGGACAAGAUUUGGUCGUUUCCUUUUGUUCCUUAUUGAUCUUGAUAUUCUCUAUAAUGUUCUUCUAUUGGUUGGAGUAAUCAAAUCAAAAUGUAUUUUUUGUUUGAAAAUUUUUGACCAACUGAUGACAUUCGUUUACUUAUUAUAUGGUAGGAGCACCAUAUUUUUUUUCGGCCCCAUUGCUCAUAUUUUUGCAAAUACAAAUUAUCAAUUCUUAAGUGAACAUUUUCGGAUCAAAAGGAAGAAUCCAAAUUAAUUACGCUCAAACCAAAACUCGACCAGUGGGCUCGAUUACCUUAUGUUUUAGUUCAUACGGUAGUCUCAUAAUUACGUUCCUCGCAAUUUCUGAAUUAUAUUCCUCAAGUAAAUAACCCGCUGCUAUGGAGAUGAGUCCCCGUUUGAGUUAAUAGCUAUUAGCUACCACAAGAAUAAUGACUAAAACUUUUUUUUUUUAUCGAAUUGUUAUAAUUGGUUGAGUAAAGGCACAAAUCACCAAUUAAUUAAGCAAAUCCAACCUAAACAACAUACAAUUCUCCAAGAAGUAGUGUGCUGUCAGAAUUGAAUAAAUUCAGUUUGGCUUGGUUCCUCCUGGUUUUCUAAAAUCAAGACCUUAAAUUUAGAAAUUAACCAACAAAGAACUAAGAAGACUUUGUUUCCUUCUUGUUGCGUGUAUUUUGAUUUCUCGUUCAUUCGUUCUUGAAUACCCUAUACUUUUCUCUAUAUUCCACUUUCUUUGAAACCACAUAUACAUUAUGUGGUUAUUUUAAAACAACGGGAUGAUUAUGGUAAAAACCACAAGUGGGUUAUUCAUAAUUUACUCCUUAAAAAAUUCACAAAAAAACAAGAGGGAAAAUGGGCAUAGAUAUGCCCACUUAAACCAAGAACAGUACACAGGUCACAGAAGUAACAAGUCACAUUUUUUUGAGAACUUUGAUGCCCUUCCACUGGGACUCCAUGUAGUUAGAAGGAUCAUCUUGUUCAUAUACUCCAAACUUGAAGUAAUGGGACUUUCCACCUCUUCCUCGUGCUUCUUCAAGCACUUGAAUCUGUUAGGACUGGGCCAGGAAUAGACAAACUCAAGUUAGCACAAAGUAGGCGGUAUAACCGAUCAUAUAAUAGAUAGGCGGUAGAUACCAGCCAUAUAAUAAUUAGGCGGUAAAACCGACCAUAUAAAGACGGAUAACAAAGCAAAUACAAGACACAGAAGAUUUACGUGGUUCGGUCAAAUUGACCUACGUCCACGGGCGAGGGAGGAGCAAUAUUUCUACUAUGAAGAAGAAAUACAAAAGCCGUAGGAAAGUGGUUCCUAGGCCAAUAGGCACUUACAAAAGAGUUUAGAAAAUAUUCCUAAACUCAAAUCAAGAGAGCCUAAAAUAUUUGACUGAAUGGGCUAGAUGACUCAAGAAGCUAAUAGCCCAUAUAACUCUCUUGAGUGGUGCGAGUUAAAUCCUUCAAUGGACCCUUCUAUUUAUAGGCCUCGAGUAGCCGGCUUCUCUUCAGCAGGCUCCGAUGUGGGAUGAGAAGGAAAUGAAAAAUUAUGCCACAAGUCAAAGCUUGCGGCUCUGACAAAACAACAAAUCUCCACCUUGGCAUAAUUUUGGUUCCACCAUCGACAAUAGUAAAAUUACUCCACCUUCUCCACAUAAGCCCCUAAUGGGCGUAAAUCACCAACAAUGAACACUAAUCAAAUCCAAGCACUGCUUGAAUUUGUAAACUGGAAGAGGCUUCGUAAACAUAUCGGCUAGAUUGUCCUUGGUAUUGAUUUUCUGAAUAAGGACUUUUCCCUCAGCAAUGAUAUCCCGAAUGAAGUGAUACUUCACAUCAAUGUGUUUCGUCCUCUCAUGAUACAUCUGAUCUUUAGUCAAGUGUAUGGCACUUUGACUAUCACAGUGAAUAUCAAUAACACCUUGAUAUAGACUUAGCUCGCUAAAUAAACUCUUCAACCACAAGGCUUCUUUGAUUGCCUCGGUCACAGCCAUAUAUUCUGCUUCAGUAGUAGACAAAGCUACGACAGGUUGUAGAGUAGCUUUCCAACUAACAGCACAACCGCCAAUGCAAAAUACAUAGCCUGAAAGUGAUCUUCUCCUGUCAAGAUCUCCAGCGUAGUCUGAGUCUACAAAACCAACCAAAGUGUUAUUAUUUCUUCCAAACUCCAAACAUGCAUUUGAAGUACCUCGCAAGUAUCUGAGAAUCCACUUCACAGCUUGCCAAUGUGCUUUACCAGGGCAAGACAUAUAUCUGCUAACAACACUGACUGCUUGUGCAAUAUCUGGACGAGUACAAACCAUUGCAUACAUAAUACUGCCGACUGCACUGGAAUAAGGAACCCGUGCCAUAUAAUCUUCCUCUUCAUCUGAUUUUGGUGAUUGAGCAGCAGAUAGCCGAAAAUGGCUAGCAAGAGGAGUAGAUACUGGUUUAGCAUCUUUCAUGCCAAAACGCUCCAAAACUUUCUCAAGGUAAUUUUUCUGGGUCAAGAAUAACUUCCCUACUCCUCGAUCUCUCUUGAUAUCCAUGCCAAGAAUUUUCUUAGCUGCUCCCAAAUCUUUCAUUUCAAAUUCACUAUUUAACUGCAGUUUCAAAGUGUGAAUUUCUGACAAAUUCUUGGCAGCAAUGAGCAUGUCAUCAACAUAAAGCAGCAAAUAAAUGAAAGAACCAUCAUUUAACUUCCGGAAGUAAACACAACUAUCAUACAUGCUCCUCAAAUAACCAUGACCCAACAUAAAGGAAUCAAACCUUUUAUACCAUUGUCUUGGAGACUGCUUCAAUCCAUAUAAGGAUUUCUUCAAUAAGCAAACAUGGUCUUCCUUACCUUCAAUCUCAAAACCCUGGGGUUGUUUCAUAUAAAUUUGUUCUUCAAGUUCGCCAUGUAAGAAAGCUGUCUUAACAUCAAGCUGCUCUAACUCCAAAUUAUACAUGGCUACUAAAGCAAGCAAAACACGAAUAGAGCUAUGUUUAACAACAGGUGAGAAUAUAUCAUUAAAAUCAACACCUUGUACCUGACUAUAGCCCUUUGCAACCAAUCGUGCUUUAUAUCUUGCAUCUUCAACCCCUGGAAUACCUUCCUUCUUCUUGAAGACCCAUUUGCAUCCAACAAUUUUCUUAGCUGACGGCGGCUUUACAAGAACCCAAGUUUCAUUACGAUGAAGAGAUUCAAUUUCUUCAUUCAUCGCAAUCAACCACUUUGCAGAAUCAUCACAAGAAACUGCUUCUGAAUAGGUGGAAGGCUCACCAACUGCAUCAGUUUCUUCUGCAAUAGACAAAGCAUAUGCAACUAAAUUUGCAUAUCUUUGUGGUGGUCGAAUGUCUCUCCUUGCUCUAUCUCUGGCUAUGGAAUACUCUUCUUCUUCAGAACUAUCUUCAACAGUAGAUUCAGGUGUAUCUACUGGCAUUUGAAUAGAAGAUUUGGUCUGAGAAGGACCAGAACUGCCAAUAUCAAGCUCCACCUGCUUCUGUGUACUAUCAGUAGUACAAGGACUGGAAGACUCCUUCUUGGAAGAUAACAUAGACAAUUCAUCAAAAGUAACAUCUCUACUGAUCACAAAUUUUGGAGAUUUGGGAUCAGGACACCAUAAUCUGUAUCCUUUCACCCCAGAAGCAUACCCAAGAAAAAUGCACUUUUUAGCCCUAGGCUCCAAUUUUCCAUCAUUCACGUGCAUGUAUGCUGGACACCCAAAAACUUUUAAAUUGGAGUAAUCAGCAGGAGUACCUGACCAAACUUCCUCAGGAGUUUUGAAAUCAAGAGAUGCAGAAGGAGAACGGUUGACAAUAUAACAGGCCAUAUUGAUCGCCUCUGCCCAAAAGUCGUUUGUCAACCCUGCAUUGGAGAUCAUACAUCUUGCUCUCUCCAAAAGCGUUCUGUUCAUACGUUCAGCCACACCAUUUUGUUGAGGCGUCAUCCUGACGGUGUGAUGCCGAACAAUUCCUUCAUUCUUGCAGAAUUCAUUAAAUUCACCUCCACAAAAUUCCAUGCCAUUAUCUGUUCUCAACCGCUUAAUAUGCUUUCCUGUUUGUUUCUCAAUCAAAACUUUCCAUUGCUUGAAAGUUAGGAAAACAUCAUUUUUAUGCUUAAGAAAAUAUACCCAAACUUUCCUUGAAUAAUUAUCAAUGAAAGUCAACAUGUACCUGGCACCACCUUUAGAAGGAGCACAAGAAGGCCCCCAGAGGUCUGAAUGAAUGUAGUCCAAAGUUCCUUUUGUCCUGUGAACUGCCGGCAACUGGAAGCUAACUCUCUUCUGCUUUCCAAAAAUGCAAUGUUCACAGAGUCCCAUCUUUCCAAUACUUUGACUACCAAGAAGACCUCGUUUGCAUAAAAUAGAUAAGCCCUUCUCGCUCAUGUGCCCCAAUCUCAUGUGCCAUAAUUUGGUAAAAUCAGAAUCAGACAAAGUUGAUGUAGAAACAGCAGCAGCACCUGUAACAGUAGAUCCCUGCAAAAUAUAUAAAGUACCAGAUCUGUGUGCCUUCAUAACAACAAGGGCUCAUCGACUGAUUUUGAGAACUCCAUCUCCACCUGAAUACCUGCACCCAAUAGACUCAAGAGUGCCUAAAGAGAUGAGAUUUUUCUUCAAAUCUGGAACAUGUCUAACAUCUGUGAGCGUCCUCACAAUACCAUCGUACAUUUUAAUCCGGAUUGUGCCUUUGCCAACAACUUUACAAACAGCGUUGUUGCCCAUUAAGACAACUCCACCUUCAGCUGAUUCAUAUGUUGAAAACCAGUCCCUGUUGGGACACAUAUGAUACGAACAACCCGAAUCUAAAAUCCACUCAUUGUUAGACCUAAAAUUAUUUUCCGUUGCACAGAAAAUGGUUCCAUCAUUCUGAUCAGCUGCUAUACUAGCUUCAGCGGAUUCAGUAUUUUUCUCAACAAAUUUUCCCUUUUGCUUUUCUUUAUUUUUCAAUUUAAAGCAAUCAGAGAUAACAUGGCCCUUCUUUUUACAAUAAUUGCACACCACAUUUUUAUGUCUGGAUUUGGAUCUACUUCUAUUUUCUGUGUUUUUCUUUUCAGAUCUACCCCGAACAAACAAACCAUCGGCUUGACUCCCACUAGUUUCCCCAGUAAUGUCCCUAUCUAUCUGCUCUUUAGAUUUUAAUGCAGAUUUAAUUUCCCGAUACGAAAUUGUUUCCUUUCCAUAAAUCAUAGUAUCGCGGAAAUGCUUAAAAGAUUGGGGAAGGGAACACAAAAGCAAUAGGGCUUGAUCUUCAUCAUCAAUUUUCGAAUCUAUAUUCCCCAAAUCCAUAAUAAUGGAAUCAAAUUUAUCAAGAUGGGAGAGUAUAGAUGUACCUUCAGACAUCCGAAGCAUGUACAAACUCUGCUUCAAAUAUAGCCGAUUUUCGACUGUUUUCUUCAUAUACAAGGCUUUCAAUUUAUCCCACAUAGCCUUGGCCGAAGUCUCCGUUGCUACCUCACGCAAUACCUCAUCGGAGAGGUUUAAGAUUAUGCUGGAUCUGGCCUUCUUAUCCAUAUCGGCGAAAUCCGCAUCCUUGACAUCUUCUGGUUUGUUCUCGAUUCCGUGAAUCGCUAGAUCAACUCCGUCUUGAACAAGAAUGGCCUCCAUCUUGAGCUGCCACAUUCCGAAGUUGACAUUCCUGUCGAAUUUCUCGACAACCGUCUUUGUUAUCGUCAUUGUUGCCACAAAUUCUGUAACUUGAAGUUUGUCUCAAAAACUGGCCAAACAAAUAUGCAAGUCUCGUGAGCGGGCCCCACAGGGUGAGCGGGCCCCACGAGAUAGGCGGGCCCCACGGGAUGAAAGGACCCCACAAGGAUGAGUGGGCCCCACAGAUAAACGGACCCCACAGGAUGAGUGGGCCCCACAGGAUGGACGGACCCCACCAGAUGAACCUGUCUUGCAAAAUAUAACAACCAGCUCUGAUACCAGUUUGUUAGGACCGGGCCAGGAAUAGACAAACUCAAGUUAGCACAAAGUAGGCGGUAUAACCGACCAUAUAAUAGAUAGGCGGUAGAUACCAGCCAUAUAAUAAUUAGGCGGUAAAACCGACCAUAUAAAGACGGAUAACAAAGCAAAUAAAAGACACAGAAGAUUUACGUGGUUCGGUCAAAUUAACCUACGUCCACGGGCGAGGGAGGAGCAAUAUUUCUACUAUGAAGAAGAAAUACAAAAGCCGUAGGAAAGUGGUUCCUAGGCCAAUAGGCACUUACAAAAGAGUUUAGAAAAUAUUCCUAAACUCAAAUCAAGAGAGCCUAAAAUAUUUGACUGAAUGGGCUAGAUGACUCAAGAAGCUAAUAGCCCAUAUAACUCUCUUGAGUGGUGCGAGUUAAAUCCUUCAAUGGACCCUUCUAUUUAUAGGCCUCGAGUAGCCGGCUUCUCUUCAGCAGGCUCCGAUGUGGGAUGAGAAGGAAAUGAAAAAUUAUGCCACAAGUCAAAGCUUGCGGCUCUGACAAAACAACAGAAUCCCAUCAAUGAAAACCGUUAGAUUCCCAGCAUGAACAUCAUGAAUUACAUUGAGACGAAACCACCUAUCACAGAUGUUGGGAACAGCUGGGAGAGGAGCUCUAUAAUAUGAGAGGGAUCCAUUGUAGACCCUAAGCAUUAAAGUUGAGGCAUGAGGUGGGCUUGCUCCAAACACUUGCAUUAUGCACACACCAGAAGUUCCAUUUGGAACAAAUCCGUAUCCUUCGAAUUGCCAAAUUCCAGAAGAGUAAUCAUAACCCUGACAUGUAAAUUAGCCAAAAUUUCUAGCUUAAAUGUGUUCUGUAACAAUAAAAGAAGGUGUAAAGUUAAAAUUUCUGUAACUGUGGAACAUGUUGAGACUAUUUAAAGUUUAUCAGAUUUUCAAUUAGUCAAAACUAAGAGGUGUAUUCAUCUUUAUGAUGUACUCUAUAAAAAUGUCUUAAUAAACAGGUCAGAGUCUAUGUCUAAUCCCUCAACACAUCAAUGUGGUUUUUUCUUUUUUUAGAAAAAAUAAGGGUAAAGUUAAAUGUUCCAUAUAUGUGCUAAAUUGAACUAAAUUCUCAAUUAUAUGAUAUAUAUGAUGCCCUUAAUUAUUAAUGGACAAAAAAAGUAACCUCUAAUUUCAUAUAUAUCUCACUUUGUCACUUAUAUCAGUAAAUUUCUAAACAUUAUUGCCCAUAUAAAAAAAUUUGAACGUACGAGAAAAAAUAUUAAAGAAAAAAGGGACCAUUAUUGGCAGAAAUAAUUAUCAAUUUCAUCACAAUCCUUCUGUUUUAUAUCUUCUUUUUUCAAAAGCAGACUUUUCUCUUUUAUUCAUCAAAAAAAAAAACGUACAAGGAAUAGAAAGACUCUAAAUACAUCACUAUACUCUAUACAACCCAAAAAAAAAAGACAAAAAACAGAAGAAUUGUGAUGAAAAAUUCUGAUUCUGUUUCAUAUCUUGUCAAGGGUAUAUAUAUACAUAUGAUGUAAUUUGUAUAUACACAUAAAUAAAUUUGUAUAUACUGCAGAAUAUAUACUUACAAGUAUACGGAUUUCUGUACGAGGUUUAGUGUGACUUUCAGGAGAAUGAGGUUUAUCAGUCUUGAAAACCCACAAUUUAUGCACUCCAUCAAUGAAGGAAUAACGUUGAUCUUCUGGUAUGUCAUAAGGCCUUUGGAUUUGGAAAUUUGAUUUCUUUAGAGGAAGUGAGAUGAAGCCUACAGUGGGAUCAACAGACUCCGAAGUAUCAAAAAUCUUGAUGGAAGAAGCUGCCAUUACUGCUUACUAAUUAAGUUAACUAGAAGAUUAAAUAUGCCUUAAUGCAGUGACGAUGGAAGAAUAGGAAUUUCACGGUUCUAUAUAUAUAUAUAUAUAUAUAUAUAUAUAUAUAUAUAUAUAUAUAUAUAUAUAUAUAUAUAGUUGAAGGUGCUGGCUGAAAUAUUCAUUUUGAAGCUUUGUUGUCAUCAGAGAAUUCCUUUAUGUUCCAAUCACUAUUAUCUCUUCAUAGGAAUUUAGAGCCAAGAGCUAACUAUCCAGAUAAAUAACUCAUUUGAACGAAAAUCCAUGCAAGUUAAAUAUCCAUCAUCACAAAUAAGUUUGGAUAUUGGAUUCUUUCAACAUCUUUUUUCCUUUUCUUCAUGGGUUUUUUUUUUUUUUUGGGGGGGGGGGGGUCGGUGUGGGGGAGGUAGAUUCUUUUAAUUGAACCCGAACAAAUUCAUGAAAGAUAUUCCCCAGUCCUCUGAUCUUUUCUCACAUAAUUAGUAACCUGCCCUUUUCCUAGAAACCAACAAAUGAAAAGGAACCAAGCAAUAGAAGAUUGAGACCACUAUACGAAUCCACAAGUGGAGAAUUAGAAUUAAAAUCUUUUGCAGCUGUCUAAAAAGAAAAGAUACCACAUGGUGAAGGUAUGUAUCCAUCUCAUCUGGUCCUUCGUGACUGAAUUUCAUGGGUGGAACAACGAAGGGUCGCUGAGGUGACACUGAACCAAGUUCUAAAAAUUUAGGUGUUUCUUCCUUGAAAUUGAAAAUUUUCUGAAAAAUAUUUUGUAGAUUUAAAUUUUUGACCUUGCAAAAACAUGAACAAAUUUUUUGUUAUAAAACUAAAAAUUUCCCCCUCAAAGUAAUUUUUCUAGUUCCAUCUAUGCUGAAUUUGUUAUAGUAGAAUAAGGAAUAUAGUGAAAGAAAUAUUUGCAAUUGAAGCAUAUGCCUUCUAAAAUACCAUAGCCAAAGUUAGUCUUAUCCCAACUUAGCUUGGUGAGAUGCAUUUAAGUGUAGCUUUGCCUUCCAAUCAUCCCCAGGACAGACAAUUUAAAAAAAAAAAAAGAAAAAAAGAAGGCAUUUCGUUUUUGUUAAUCAGAUUAGUUAACCAUAUAACAAAUUAAUCGAAACAAAUAAAAGGGGCUAACAUGCCUUAAUUAUAAAUUUGAGGAGGAAAAUAGACAAGGAAACCGAACCUAAGGGGACAAACUGAAAAUUAACAUACUCAGAUUUGGCUUGGAAGGACCAUUGGAAACCAAUUUGUAAGUUGAGGAACGUAAUAAACACUUUCAAAAGUUGAGGGACCAAAUAAAAUCUCGAGCAAAAAUUGAGGGAUCUUUGAAAUCGUUUACACAAUCACUUUACCUAACCAAAAAUAGGUUUUGCUCCAAUACGUUCUGGUAUUUAACUAAUAUUUUGAUAUGACUGAAUUAUUGGGAGCGGGUAUAGUAUAACAGCUCCGAAUCUGAAUUUAUUAAUUCCAAUCUGGAUCCGAGGCCUAGAGGUGGCGGUGACGGUGGCGGUGGAUUAAAUGAUUAAAACAAAAGAAGGCUCUCGGCCAGCGCAAAAUUAGGGCGUCAUCAAAUCUUAGAAUAAGCAAUCGUCUCCCUCUUCUGCUGUCCAACUCCAGCAAAGGCUUUGCAAGAGAUAUUUUCACAUCUAGCCGUCGCCCUUUUUUCUUCUGUUCUUACUCGAGCGCUUUUGCUAGAGAUUAAGCAUGUUGCGAACAACAGAGAAAGGGAGAAUUGGGAGACUUUCCUUCAGCUGUAUUUUUGGAAAGCAUGAAGAAAAACAACAGGAAACCUCGUGGUGUGCUUCACGCAAGUGGAUGGUUAUGCGGAUCCAAUGGUUUAUUCUUUCAAGUCUUUUCCAAUUCGGAAAUUGAUUCACCAUUCUUCAAGCAGGCUUAAACCGAAAGAGGAGUUUGUCUGGCGUGAGAUAAAGGAUGCAUCUGAUGCAUGCACCCCACAAUACUUUGCUAUGAGUUUGAUUCAUACUGGAGGUUUGGUCUAUGCUGUUGGUGGUGUGAAGGCCGAUGAGGAAGAGAGGCACUUGUAUGAGCCAGGCAGGUUGUCCCCAGAGUUCAGUUGCAUCUCUCUCUCAACUCCUCUAGAAAACUCUCAAACAGAGAUUAAGUGCCCAAUGCAUGGGGCAAAGUAUUUCCCCCUUAUAGAGGAAAUUGAUGGUCGCAUCCAUGUUCUAUCUGGGCCCCUGCCCAGCUAUGGAUCUCCUGAUAUAAUUGACAUUGGCUUUGAGGUUUAUUAUCCUUCAGAGGAUAGGUGGGCUGAUCUGCCGAUUCCUCCUUUUCUCAAAAAAGGUAGUUACUCCACUAUGUUUAGGGGCUUCUUUUCAUAUGUAGUGAUUGGUUCAAGGUUGCGUGUUUCGACUGGGGAAUACGCGUGUGCUUUUGACACUGUGCAGUGGGAGUGGGAGACUUGUGAGUUAUUUUCUGAUUUCCCGAUUCAACCUCCCGAACGUUAUGUGCGACACCUAGAUGGUUGUGGUCCUCCAUUUCUUUUUGAGAAAAAAGCCAUCCUAUAUAAAGACAAUAUCUUGUUGUGCAUUAUGUCCAAUGACGGAGCCAAGGGGGGCAGAGGGGGGGCCAUGGCCCCCCCUAAGUUUUGAGAAUUUUAAUUCAUAAUAUGUAAAUAUGUGUGUAAAAUAAAAUUGGCCCCCCCUAAAUUUUUUCAAUUUUAGUUUAUAUUAUGAGAGUUGAUAUAUAUAUAUAUAUAUAUAUAUAUAUAUAUAUAUAUAUGAAUUAGUCAUCUUUGAAUGGAAUUUCAAUUUUGGCCCCCAAAAAAAAAAAAUCCUGGCUCCGUCACUGAUUAUGUCUACCUUCCAUCCUCCUGUCUGUGCCUAUCAAAUUUGUGAUGAGAAAGCGGUAAAAAUACCACUUUUAUUGGAUGGCAUACCAGAUGGAGUUCCAGUUGAUCUUGUUGAUUUAGGAAAUGAUUACUUUGCUGUAAUACUUUUUGAAUACGAAACAGAGGGACAGGCCGAAGAUCUGACAAUUGUCACUUUCAAGGUGUUUUCAGAAAGAGGGGGAGAUGGAGCUCUGAGUUGUGCAUUGGUAAGUACAAGGACUUGUAAUACAACAGAGAAUGGCUCUAUUGUGCGUCCCAUCUGUUCCUUCAUAUUGUAAGUUAACGAAAGAUUCCAUGGUAAAGAGACAAGUGCAAAAAAUGCUACUACUAGCAGCUUUCAUGGUAGCUGAUCCCAUUUUGUUUUUGUUUCUGGCUAAUUCUCUUGUGUUUUCCAAUAUAUAGAAAAUGGAGCUUUUGAUGAAACUGUUAUAGCCAACGGUUUCUUGUUUUUGUGGGGUUUUGUUUCCUUCGGAUUGUGUCAUAUAUAUAGUCUUGGAGUUUGCUUCAAAAAAAAAAAAGACAUGACUGAAUUAUUCAUGUAUUUUUCACUAAUCAAACUUCACCAGCACUAACUAAUGCCUUUUCCAUUACUUCAAUACAAAAGAAGUAAAGACAAGUGAAGUAGUUUGGCAAAGGUGAACUAAAUCCAAGGCAAAUAUUACAAGGAAAAUCAAUCACAUUUGUUUAAGAACUUUGAUUCCAAUCCAACGUGACUCCAUAUAGUAAGAGUCACCAACCUGUGAAUACACUCCACACUUGAAAUAAUGUGAGUUUCCACCUCUACCAGCUGCUUCAAAUAUGAAAACCCCAUCAAUGUAAACCUUCAAUUUGCUAGCAGCCACCUCAUGGAUUACAUUAACUCUGAACCACCUAUCAUAUAUGUUGUGUACAAGUACGUUUGCUUGUUCAAAGUAUGCAAGGGAUCCAUUGUAAACCCUAAGCAUUAAAGUUGUGUUAUGAGGUAGGCUUGCUCCAAAGACUUGCAUAAUGCACACACCAGAAGUUCCAUUUGGAACAAAUCCAUAUCCUUCGAAUUGCCAGACUCCUGAGGAGUAAAUAUAGCCCUAAGCAGUAAGAAUGAAGUAAUUAGUGAGCUCAAAAUUUGUCAUCUCAAUUAGUGUACUUGUUAUUAGGAGAAAUGGUAAAGAAACAAUAAUACUUCUGUUUAAUUUGUGUUUUAGUACUUAGUAGUGGCGAGCCCUAUUACAAUGAUUGUAUUUUUUGUUUUUCUCAUCUUCGAUUGUUUAUUGAACGAAUUGCACCCAAAAGCUAGUACUUCCAGGCGGACUCACAUUUAUAUAUUGAAUAGAUCUGCAAUAAAUUCCAUGUUAUGUGGUAAACAAUAAAAGAGAUCCUGGAAGUUUACAAGUUUUCCCUUCUUGCCUUCAAACAAAAAUUAAAUAAAAGAGACCCGGCAAGGAAUUUUACAAGUACAAAAAAGGAUAUAAAAUAACUAUAAGUGAAAUCUAUAGCCUUGUUUUCAGUUGCUCUAGAUUUUGCAAAAUUCGAUUAUGGAAAGUGAUUGUAGAGAAUAAUUAGAAUUAGUAAAAACUACUCUUAGGUGGAUUAUGGAUUUUAACUUUUUUGGCUAUUAAAAAAAUUAUAAUCGAAAUACGAAAACAAACAAGAACAUCCAAAAACUGAUAAUCCAAAAUCAGAAUGUAAGCUAAAAUGAUCAACGUAGAACAAGCUAGUGAUACCUGGAUUAUGAAAGAGAGCCACUCAUGAAGAUUUUAAAUGAAAAAAAAAAAAAUUUUCUCCUUUUUGUUCUGUUUUAAGAUUUUUUGUAUUGAAAAAGAAAAAUGUACCUGAAAAAAGGGAAACAGAAGAAAAAGAUAAAAGAAGAAAAAAACAGAAUAAUUUUUCGAAACUAUCAGAGGUAGUCCUUUAUCACCUGGAGUUCUUGCUUCCCCAGGAAUAACAGUAGAAGAUUAUAAUUACCCUAUGCAGUACAAUAGAAGAAAAUAUAUAAUAUCGGCUUUAAAAAAAAAGACGAAGAGAUAAUUCUUUAAUGAAGAAGAAAGUUAAGAUGCAAAAGGAACAUGUGUGGACUUUCAAAAGAAUCAUUACCACAUUAAAAUUUAAAGCACUGAAGCAUAAAGACCUAAAGUAGUGAAUGAGAAAUUAAAUAUAAUCCAAAAAAAAACAAGAAAACGAGGGAUUUACCUGGAUCAUAAUUUCCGUACGUGGCAUCGUGGGACUAUUCCGAGACAAAGGGUUAUCUGUGGAGUAAACCCAAAGUUUAUGGACUCCAUCUACGAAGCUGUAUCUUUGGUCUACAGGGAGGUCAUAUGGUUUCUGAAUGUGAUAAAAGGAUGUAUUAAAUGGGAGUUCAACAAAGCCAUCAGUUGGAUUAGUUGAGUAUACUAUGGCAAGUUGAGAAGUAUACAAGAGAAAAAAGGCUGAGAAGAAAAGGAAAAUUACACGGCAAGUAGCCAUCCCUAUGUAUUGCUUCAUGCAAUAAAUUUUGGUAUUUGUAGAGCCCCUUAACCAUAUCAUGGCUCGGGACAAAAUAAAUGUAAGAAAAUAUAGGUGCUAUAAAGUACUGGCCAUAUUGAAUACUCUCAUUUGCAGUGAUAUCAUAAGCAUCCAAACGCUGGCAAGAUGAUUGCAAUCAAUCACGUAUAACCUCAAUUCAUUGAUGUAGUGACUUCACAUUUUGGACCUCUUUCUUUAAACGAUAGCUAAACUUUGUGUUGUUUGUUGAUAGUAACAACACCUUGUGCUAUAACAUUUUCUGUUUGUAUGGGGUUAGUUAAUUGGUAAGAGCUCUACACUUUGUGAGGAGCUACUAAACUUUGGCUUUUUAGGCCUUGCUAUUAAAUAUUGCCGCCUUCUAUCAUCAGAAUUUAACGUUUCAAUUAGUACAUAAAAUUUAAUAUUGAACAUCUUCUUGUUAUUGGUUAAUUAAAAGAGACUCCUUGAAACUACUUCAUUCUUUGGAAGGUUCAUUCAACAAUUAAGACUUUCAUAGUCCAAAUUCUUACUUGACAUAAGAUCUAACAAAAAGGAAAUCUAAAGUCUAAUUAGAUGACAAUAUCCUGAGUUUGGUGGCAUUUUCAUCCCUCCAAAUAGACAUGAUUUUAACCAUUUUUGGAGGGAAAAUCAUAUUAUGAUUUAAGGUUUAAGAUGUUUGUAUGACUCUAAAGGACCUAAAUAGUUAUAUACCCGACUACAAAUCACUUGAAAUUUUUGUUAUAGGACCAUGUCUAUUUAGUAUUUUCCAGUUUGCUUUUACCAAGAGAACCUAGCUUUCGGUCUACAAUAGUCAAUGCGCCUCCCCGAGAUGUUACAGCAACAUUUGGUCUUUUCUUGCCAAAAACAUUUCGCUUGCCAACAUUUGGUCUUUAAUUGACUUGCCGUUUAGUCACAAAAAUUAAAGACAUUUAAACAUUUCGCUUACACGUUCUUUCAUCUUCUGUCUAUCCUCGGGUUCUAUAGUAAAAUUAUACUCCCUUCAUCCCAUUUUAAUAAUUUUGUUUUUCUUUUUCAUCCGUCCCAAAUAUAGGUCACUUUCCAAUUAAAGAAUAUAGUUAACUUUUAACUUCUUUAAAAUGCCCUUAUAUAAUAUAUUUUGCUAUCAGUGAAUAAACCUACCUUAUUCAUUAAUUACUUUGAUUCAUGUUUUGAAUGGUGCAACUUUCUAUCAAUAUUACUAUUGUUAUUAAUAUAACGGUAUAAUGGUUAGUUAUACUGAUAAUAUUCAUAUAAGGGUAUUUUAGAAAAAUAAUAGGUUAGAUUUACUCUUUCAAUAAAGUUAAAUAAUUUUUCUUAAAUUGUGUGAAAAAAAUCAAGACUUUCAAAGUGGGACGGAGAGAGUAAUAGAAAUUUCUACACAUAUCGUAAUCAUAUGUUUUACUCUCCAACUCUUUAUUAUAGGUAUUACUCUCUCUAUCCCACUUUGAUAGUUUUGAUUUCUUGUCCCACACAAUUUAAGAAAAAUUAGUUAACUUUGUUGAAAGAGUAAAUCAAGCCUGUUCUUUUCUUAAAAUACCCUUACAUUGAUAUUAGGAGUACGAUUAAUCACUAUACCUUUAUAUUAAUUACAACAAUAAUACUAGAGAAAGUUGCAUUUUUUAAGGUAUGAAUCUAAGCAAUUAAUGAAUGAGGUAGGUUAUAUUCACCAUAACAAAAUACACUAAAUAAGGGUAUUUUAGAGAAGUUACAAGUUAAAUAGAUUUUUUAAUAUAAAAUUUUAAAAGUAGACUAUAAUUUGGGACGGAUGAAAAAAAAAAUAAGACUAUCAAAGUGAGACCGGAGGGGGGAGUAGUGAACACCACUAUCACAAAGCCAACAAUUUAUCUGCCAUUUGGAGGCAAAUUCUCACCAACGAUUAAUUCUAAGUUCGGAUCAUCCUAGGAAACUAAAGAAGAUUUAUCAGAUUGGGAAAAAAUUAGAUAAUGUUUGUCUGACAUGAAAAGAGAAGGAAAGUGAAGGAAAAUAACUUUCCUCUGAUAUGUUUAUUUGCAGAGAAAAGUGUGGGAAAGUGAAGGAAAGUCAAUUAUUUUUUCCUCCAUGCAUGUUUUGUUGGCAGGAAUGUUGAAAAAUUUUCUUGCAUUUUGUCUCCUACAAAAUUUACAGGAUUUUAACGGAAAAUAGUUAGUUACUUACAGAAGUUUCAAUAACUGCUACUAACUAUCAAUGACUUCCCAUAUUCUCUUGAUAUUUUUCUUAGUAACCAAACAUGUAUGAGAAACUUAUUUUCAUUUUCCUUUACCUAGCUUUCCUAUAUAACUUCCUUUCUAUUCAAACAGAGCCUAUAAAUUUUGAAUGUUUUUUUGUUAGGAAAUUUAUGAAACCCACCAUAUAAAAUCUUCCCAUAAUUGUUCAUUUUCCUAUAAAUCUUUUCCUGCUGAAAUUCAUAGGAAAGUGAGUCAAGGGAAAGUUUCAAAUAAUUAGAUUUUUUUUACAACCAUUUUCUUUCUAAACUAUUUCCUCCAUUCUAAACUUCUACAUCAAUUAGAAUAAUUUAGAAUGUACAAUUCAAGCAGGUGGCUUGUAGUUAAACAUUUUAUUCUUAUUUUAACAAUUAAUGAAUUAGUAAUUUAUUGAAUUUAUUUGACAUUAGUAGUUUUUUCUUUUAUAUUUUAUGCUCUUUUUUAAUGUUUGUAUAUUUUUUAAAUAACUUAUACACAUAUAACACACACACACAUAUAUAUAUAUAAACUUUUUUGUUAAAGAAUGUGAUUAAUUUUCAAGUAAACAACUUUUCCAAUAUGCAAAAUGUUUUUAUUAUUACAUGUUUUUAGUAUAUUCAAUACCAAAAAUGAAGAGGUUCAGUAUUGAAUAUUUUCUAUUAAUGAACGCACUAACCAAUUUUUUCAUGAUUUUCGGCUAAAUAAACACAAUAAUUUAUAUUUUCUUGUAUAAUUUUCUAGUUAACCAAACAUAUGUGGAAAAGUUAGUUUCUUUUUCUUUACCUUAUUUCACUUCCCUUUUCUCAUGACACACUUUCUUGCACAACUAUCUUGUCAAACAAACAAACAAACAAACGGAGCCUUAGCGUCGUUACCGAGCAGCCAAGAUUGAAAUUAAUAACACAUCAGUAAGUUGGGUUUUGAGAUCAGUUCAAUGGGUAUAGAAAUUUAAUUCUCCAAAAAUUUUAAAUUCUUUUUUGGUCAAUGAGCAUGUAAAUUAGCUUUUUAAUGUUAGCCUCCAUUUUUUUCAAGCUAUAAGUGUUUCAUGAUUCAGUUGAAUUAUUCUAUGUAUACUGAAUUUUAAUGGGAAAAUAACCGCAUAUUUUUCAGCGAAUCACGUGUCUUUUCGUCUUAUCGGUAAGGUAACUAGGCAUAAUCGUUAACUUCGUCACUAAACUAAGCAUAUUUCAAUCAUGUGGCCUCAAAUUGGGCCACAUCAGUUGUCACACUAGUGAACAUCAUUCUGAAAUAAAUUCUUAAAACUUUCUAAAAUAUAUCCGUUUGGGUCAGUGGUAGUUCAUCCCCUCUAGGUUGUCCUUAGGUAUCUUUAGGUCCCUUUUUCCCCUAGUAUAGAGUAGUGUAUGUUUAUCGUAUCUGACAAAAAAAAAAAAAAUCAUUUUUACAAUGAUUUACUAUAGCCAAAGAUAGGUAAUGCUCCAACUUCAUUUUGGCACAGAUGCCAUUGCUUUCAAAAAAAAAAUAUUUAUAUAUUUUUUAUCUUUGGGUACUUAUUAAGGUAUUAAUAUUUAGUAAUUAUAAAACUAAUUCGGCAAAGCAUCUAAUUUUGGGGUGAAAUAAAUAUAAAUAUUUAUUUACAUAUUAAGUUAAAUAUAAGGGCAAAAUAUACUUUAUCCCCCUGUGAUAUAGCUAUUUUUCACAUAACACUCCUAUAGUUUUAAAAACUAUAUAUAACCUUCUCAUAAUAUAGAUUAAAAUACCCUUAUUUAAAAACUAAAAUGGUUGAAGUGAUCAAAAUAUAUAAAUAUAACAAGCAUGACACUCUAAUUCCUACGAUUUGAUGCUUUACCAUAUAAUCCCCUUAUGGUUUAGUGCUUUACCAUAUAACCCCCUUAUGAUUUUCUAAAAAUAAAAAAAAAAAUAUAUAUAUAUAUACAUAAUCCCCCUCUGUGGUUAAUAAAUAAUUUUUAACUUUACAUUUUUGAUAUUUUAGUUGAUUCCGUUAUGGAUUCAAAUUCCGUUACUUUGACACUUUAAUCCAAAUCAUGAGGGGAUAAUGUAUAGCUUUUAAAACCAUGAAAGGGUUAUAUAAAAAAACACUAAAUCACAGGAGGACAAAGUGUAAUUUGCCCUAAAUAUAAUGAGUACCAGCUAAAAAAUUUUUCUUUUUGUUUUACCUACUUUGAUAUAAUUUAAUCAUUUGAGUAUUUUUUUUUUUUAGCUUUGUUUCUCGUGUCUAUUUUAUCUCUUGCACUUUUUGGCUGAUUUCUCAUGCAUUGCUCCAUAUAAGUAAAGCUUCACAAGCAUUAAGUCAUUGACUAGUACCUUAUCCAUUACCUCAACACCAAAGAAGUAACGACAAGAGAAGUAGUUUGGCUUUAACAUGCCAAACGUAAACUAAAUCCAAGACAAAUAUUACAAGGAAAAUCAAUCACAUUUGUUUAAGAACUUUGAUUCCCUUCCAACGUGACUCCAUGUAGUAAGAGUCACCAAUCUGUGAAUACACUCCACACUUGAAAUGAUGUGAAUUUCCACCUCUACCAGCUGCUUCAAAUGUGGAAACCCCAUCAAUGUAAACCUUCAAUUUGCUAGCAGCCACAUCAUGGAUUACAUUAACUCGGAACCACCUAUCAUACACGUUGGGUACAAGUACAUUUGCUCUAUAGUAUGUGAGGGAUCCGUUGUAGACUCUAAGCAUUAAAGUUGAGGCAUGAGGUGGGCUUGCUCCAAACACUUGCAUAAUGCACACACCAGAAGUUCCAUUUGGAACAAAUCCAUAUCCUUCAAAUUGCCAAACUCCCGAAGAGUAAUUAUAGCCCUAAGAAAUAAGAAUCAAGUAUUGAGUAAGCCCAAAAUUUGUUGUCUCAAUUAAGUGUGCUAGUUGAUAGGAGAAAUGGUUAAAAGACAAUACUCCACUUUUAUUUGUCUUUUAACACUUGGCAGUGGCAAGCCUUAGUAUAAUACAGUUAUUCUUUGUUUUUCCCUUCUUCAAUAGAAGUGUUUAGUGAGCUAAUUGAACCCAAGAGCCAGUCCUUCUGGGCAGACUAACACUUGUAAAUUGCAUAGAUUUGUAAUAAAUUCUGAAUUACAUGGCAAACAACAGGAGAAACCCAGCAAUGAAUUUGAUAGGGAUACAAAAGAGGGUGUAAAAUAAUUAUAAGUGCAAUCAUAAGCAUUUUCUCAGUUGCUCUAGAUUUUGCAAAAUUCGGUUGCUCUAAAUUUUGCAAAAUCUGAUUAAGUAUAAAAAGUAAUAGUAGAGAAUAAUGAGAAUCAGCCAAAGUUACUUUUGGUAAAUUGUUGAAUUUACUUUUUUCUAUUAUUAAAAAUAUAUAAUUUAAAUACCGAAGCAAAUGAGGGUAUAAGAAAUUGAUUAUUCAAAAUUAAAAUCUUUAAUCAGCUAAAUAAUUAGCCAAUAACAAGUCCAUAAUACCCAGAUUGUGAAAGCGAGCCAUCUUAUGAAGAUUUUGAAUAACAAUUAUUUUCACAUUUUCAUUCUAUUUUAAAUAUUGGUAUUGAACAAGGAAAUAAGUACUUAAAAAAAUGGAAACAGAAGAAAGAGACAAGAGAAGAAAGAACCAGUAUAAUUUUUCUUAAGUAUCAGAGAUAGUCCUUUAUCACAUAGAAUUCUUGCUUCCUCACGAACAACAGUAGAAGAUUAUAAUCACCACAUGCUAUACCAUAGAAGAAGAUACAUAAAAUUUUGGCUCAAAAAAAAUGAAGAGAAAAUUCUUUAAUCAUGAACAAAGUUAAGAUAGAAAAGGAGCAUCUGUAAACUUUCAUAAGAAUCAUUACUACAUUAAAACAGCAAAAAUAAAUAUGCAAAGCACUAAGAAUCAAAACCUGAAGUAGUGAAUGAGAAAUUUAAUAUAACCCAAAAAAAAAAGAAUAUGAGGAAUUUACGUUAAUCAUAAUUUCCGUACGUGGCAUCGUGGGACUAUUCCGAGACAAAGGGUUAUCUGUGGAGUAAACCCAAAGUUUAUGGACUCCAUCUACGAAGCUGUAUCUUUGGUCUACGGGGAGGUCAAAUGGUUUCUGAAUGUGAUAGAAGGAUGUAUUAAAUGGGAGUUCAACAAAUCCAUCAGUUGGAUCAAUUGAGCACGCUGUGGCAAGUUGAGAAGUAUAUAAUAAAAAGGGCAGGAAGAAACGAAAGAUUAAAUGGUAAGAAAUAGCCAUCUCUGUCAAUUGCUUCAUGCAAGAAAUUUUGAUAUUUAUAGAGCCUUAACCACAUCAUGAUUCCAUACAAUAUACAUGUAAGAAAACAAAGAUGUAGAAUACUCUAGUGUGUGAUGAAAUCAUAAGCUUUCAAAAGCUUGCAAAUGAUCUCAAUUCAUUGAUAGAAUGACUUUACAUUUUGGACCUCUUUCUUGAAAAUGAUAGCCACACUUUUGUGUUGUUUAUUGAAAGUAAUAACAGCUUGUGCCAUGAUCUCUUCCGUUUGUAUGGGGUUAGUUAAUUGGUAAGAGCUCCACACAUGAUGAGAGAUAUAUUUUUACGAUUUUGGCACUAUUAAACAUUGGCUAUUUAGUGCUUGCUUUUAAAUAUUGCCGCCCUCCAUCAGCAGGAUUUAGCUUUUUAAUUAGUCUAAAAAAUUUAAUUUCGAAUAUUUUUCCUAUUAUUGGUGAAUUAUAUCGAGUCUCUUUGAAACUAUUUCAUUCUUUGAAAGGUUCAAUCCACAAUUUAAGACUUUCUUAGAACAAACUUCUCACUUGCCAUGAGAUCUAACAAUAAGAAAAUCUAAACUCUGUUUAGAUGACAUUAUCUUGAGUUUAGUUGCAUUUUCAUCGCUUCAAUUAGACAUAAUUUCAACUUUUUUUGGAGGGAAAAUAAUUUUUUUAGUUUAAAAUUUUAGAUGUUUGUAUGGCUCUAAAGGAUGCAAGUAGUUAUUAUACCCAACUAUUAAUUACUUGAAAUUUUUUUGUUUACGAGACUAUGUCUAUUUCAAUAUUUUUAUUUUUUCUUUACGAGACUUUGCCAGUUUGGUCUACAAUGGUCAAUGUGCCUCCCCAAAAUGUUACAGCAGUAUUUGGUCUUUACUUGACUUGCCUUUUAGUGACAAAAAUUAAAGACAUUUAUACACUUUCUUCUCAUCUUCUAUCUUUCCUCGGGCUCCAUAGACAUAUUAGAAUAGAAAACUUUAUCUAACAAUCCACAAAAUAAAAAAUAAAAAAUUGAAGAGUAUUUUGCCUUUCUCUCAAACUGUUUAUUAUAGGUAUAUUUGUCAACAGUAGUAUCGAAAAGCCAAAAAUUUAUCUGCCAUUUGGAGGCAAUUUCUCUCCAACGAUCAAUACCAAUUUCGGAUGAUCCCAAGAAACCAAAGAAGAUUCAUCAGAUUGGGAAAAAAAUUUAGUGCCAUCAUCGAACAGCUAAUAUUCAAAUUAAUAACAUAUCAGUAAGUUGGUUUUUGAGAUUCAGUUCAGCGGGUAUAGUAAUUUAAUUCUCAAAAUUUUCAAAAAUAUUUAUUUGGUAAAUGAGCAUGCAAAUUAACAUUUUUUUUGGUAAAUGAAAUUUAUUAUAUUGCUCUCCAAUUUUUGUGACGUGCUUAUUUGUCCUUUUUUUUGGGCAAAUUCCACUUUACCCCCCUGUGGUUUAGCGUUUUUUUACAUAACCUCUUUAUGGUUUCAAAAACUAUAUAUAACCUCCUUAUGGUUUGGAUUAAAAUGUCAAAAUGACAGGAAUGAUCAUUCGUAAUGAAGUCACCUAAAUAUCAAAAAUACCCUUAUGUAAAGUUGAAAAUUAUUUAUUAACCAAGGAAGGUUAUGUGUAUAUUUUGAAAACCAUAAGGAGGUUAUAUGGUAAAGUAUUAAACCAUAAAGGGGUUAUAUGGUAAAAUAUAAAAAUCAUACGGGAUUAGUGUGUUAUGUAUUUAUAAGGGUAAUUUCGACAUUUUUAGAAAUUCCAUUACGAAUGACUAUUUCCGUCACUUUGACACUUUAAUCCAAACCAUGAGGGGGUUAUGUAUAGCUUUUGAAACUAGAGGGGGUUAUGUAAAAAAUGCUAAAUCACAGGGGGGAUAAAUUGCAAUUUGCCCUUUUUUUUUUCAAUCUAUAACUGCUUCAUCAUUCAGUUGAAUUGUUUUUUGUAUGCUGAAUUUUAAUGGGACAAUAAGGCCAUACUUUUCAUAGAAUCUCGUAUCUUUUCGUCUUAUAGGUAACUAAUCAUAUUCGUUAGCUCGCCAUUUAAAAAUUUUGGGUAUUUCACUGGGGACGAUCACUCUACAUCUAAGCUUCCAAUGUUCCUCAAUCCGUCAAAGGGCUACUUCAACAAGAUUGAGUACUCAACUGUAUUCAAGUUGGCCUGAAAUGGGAAAAGAGAAGUGUGUAUGCCACAUCCCUUGUAGUUAUUUUGUAUUUCUUUUCUUUUUUGGAUAAUUCAAAGUUUGGAUAAUUUCGCCAUCACCACCACGAGUCAAGUUAAGCCUUGAGACUAUAUAUAGGUCACUUGAAGAAUAUUUACAAAUUAUCUACUAAUACAAUUCUCACAUGAUUUGAAUAUACGAUUUUUUUUUUUUAUGAAGAAACAGUCUGUUUUCAACAUUGACAGCGUCCAUGUCAAACUUUUUAUUACUUAUAACAGAUAACUUUUAUUCCACGAAAAGAAAAUAGGUAUUAACAUUCCACACUUAAACCAAAGCCCAACAUAUAGAUCAUAAAAGAAACAAAUUACAUUUUUUUUAGGAUUUUGAUUCCUUUCCACCUAGAUUCCAUGUAGUAAGAAGCAUCAGGUUGUGAAUAUACUCCACACUUGAAAUAAUGAUAUUUUCCACCUCUUCCAGGUGCUUCAAUCACUUGAACCCCAUCAAUGUAAACCGUCACUUUGCUAGCAUCUGCAUCGUGAAUUACAUUGAGACGAAACCACCUAUCAUAGAUGUUUGAAACUAGGACAGGAGCUCUAUAGUAUGAAAGGGUUCCAUUGAAAAGUCUGAGCAUUAGAGUUGUGGCAUGAGGGCUUGCUCCAAAGACUUGCAUGAUGCAAACACCAGAAGUUCCAUUGGGAACAAAUCCAUAUCCUUCAAAUUGCCAAAUCCCCGAAGAGUAAUUAUAACCCUGAGAAGCAAAUUAGCACAAAAAUUAACAUGUCACAUGCUGUAUUUCACAUGUAGCAAAAGGAUUUUUCCCGUCCAUACAUGCAAUUCAAUUUGUGCUUAAAUAUAUAUUUUGUUGAUCUAAUUUCAUACGUAUUUGUAAAACUUGGCACACUUGUUUCUAAGUAUCAUCUGUUACCCCAUAGACUAUGCUAUGAAAAAAUGUGCUAAAAUUCAAAACAAAAAAAGGGCAAUUAUGAAAUAGUUACUCUAACACUACUAAUAUUGUUUUGCUAAUUGAUCUAUAUCUAGUAACUUAAGGUAUGGGAACUGAAGUGUAAAAACUGGAAAAGAAUUGGAAGAGAUAAAGAGAUUAAUAGUGAUUUACUUGGAUUAUAAUUUCUGUACGAGAAUUUGUAGGACUAUUCUUAGCUAAAGGCUUGUCAGUGGAGUAGACCCAGAGCUUGUGAAUUCCAUCAAUGAAGCUGUAUCGUUGGUCUACAGGGAUAUCAUAUGGCUUCUGGAUGUGAUAAAAGGAUGUAUUAAAUGGGAGUUCAACAAAUCCAUCUGUUGGAUCAGUUGGCUCUCCAAUAGCAAGCUGAGUACUUGCUAGAACGACGACUAAGAGGGAACAGAUAUUGUGGUAAAAGCUACUACCCAUCUCUCUACCUUGAGACCAAGAAAAUUUUUGUGGUACUUAUAACAACGUAUUGAAAGCAACAAUGAGAGAAAAAUUUGGUGCUGCAUUGGCAAUUGUUAAGGCGAUUACAUGACAGUGUUAUAUCUGUGAUUUAGAUCAGAUCGCGUUUAAACUGUCAAAUUCAUUCUUUUUAAAUGUGCUGUCUCGAUCUAUGCAGCAUCAGCAUGGCCGAACUACUGAAUAUGAAAUUCCAUUUUGAAAAUGUACCAAAAGCAACAAAGUAAAGUUAGUUCUUUGACCAUUGGAUUAUUACAACGUUGCCUUCUCUUUAUUCUUGUGAAAUGGUACACAUGUAAUAGCAUAAGUUAUGUACAUAAUUUGAACAGUUCAUUUCAGGAGUUUCAAUAGCAUUUCCUACUAAGGAGUUCAAUAAUUAAUACGUGCUAAGACUCACUUAUUUAUUCAAUGAGCCAAAUAUAACAUAAUUUGAAUUGUCAAGAAAUUCUCUUGUAAUUGUGAAAAUCUUGGAUUUACAAUGGAACCAGUCUAGAACAUGACCGGUUUCAACUGUAAUUUUAUAUUUUCCUCGUAUAAAAGUACUUCUAUUUUAUCCCAUGAAAACUGAAGACGAGAUAAGUACAAAAGUUGCAGGCCAGUGUUUUGGUUUUAGUUCUCCGUUUUUACUAGUUGACAGCUGAUAAUUCAUUGAAAAACCAAAAACAUGAAAAACAAAAAUAAGAAAAGAAAAACGAACGUAGUCAUCUGCCUCUGUUUAAAUCAGGUGUGUAAGAACGAGUAUAAAUUAAUUCUCCAAUUCCCAUUAUAACUUCUCUGUACAUUCACCCUGUGAAAAUGACAAUGCAGGUAUCUGGAUUUGGUAAAGUAGAAGUAAAAAAAUAAUGUGAAAUGAGGUUUGAAUAAUCUUUUCCUUGGAUCAAAAAGUGAUAAAAAAAAUUUAUUUGUCUUCUUGUAUCUUGUCAUAUCAUACCUUCUCCUUCCAAAAUUGAACUUGUUUGUUUGAUCCAGUUGCAUUAAAAUAGACAAUGAUUUGUAAUCUGCUUUACACAUAAACAGACAAAUAUAUGUAUCAUAUGUAAUUUGAACAAGUCAAACAAGAGAAAAAGUCAAAUAGAAAAGCUCUAAAAGCCUUUUAAGAUUAAUGGUAAGAAACUUUCAAAAUCAUGUGAAGAGCAGUUAGCAAGAACUUGACCUUUUUCCAUAAAGCUAGUUUAAAAACAUAAAACUAGUCUUCUUCUUGUUUGCUGCAUUAUACACUUUAUCCCUAACUAUGACAAUGUAACGACGAUGUGACAUUUUGUUCUAACUAUGAUCCCUAACUUUUUUGACCAGCUGCCCGUCAUUAUUGAUUUAUAUGGUUUUAGUUACUAAUGUUAUUAGCAAAAUUAGCAAGAUAAAAGAUAGUGCAAAUUAAUGAUAAUGUAUCGUUCUAUUUUUGUUAUGAUACCUUGGAACCUUUGGACCAGCUUUAGCACGUUAUCAUUGAUUUGUUAGGACCUCUAUGCCAUUAAUUUUUGGUAAAGUUGUCAUUGACUAUAUUUAAAUAAGAUAAACUUGAGAGUUUAGGUUGCAAAGUGUUCAAAAUUAAGAAUUUAGCUUGUAAAGUGUUCAAAAUUAAAGUUUAUGGUGCAAAGUGAAAAAAUUAUACAAAUUCAGGGAUGCAAUGUGGAGUUCGUCCUUUGAAUUAAGAACUUUCUAGGUUUAAUUUAAGUACCAAAUAAUCACCUCAAUUAAAAGCAUAGGUUAGUAUGUAUUACUUCGAAUUGGAAGCAAGCUAGUGCUAAGAAGCAGAGCCAAAGAUGAUAUUAAGCCUUUUUUUUAAGUGAUCAAGUAGGAUAUCAUAUCAGCUUCUACUUUGAAUAUGCUUUUCUUGCCUUCCUAAUAUGUUUUAUGACUUCCAUUAUUCUCAACACACUGUUCUCAACACACUUUUCUUGCCUUCCUAAUAUUAGUUAUUAAUAUUCAAGAGACUUACCUAUUUAUCCUCAACACACUGUCUUUUCUUGUCAUAUUGUGCCAUGGAAGCCAUAUACCAGGAGGGUUGCAUUAACGGCUAAGGUGAAGUAUAGAUAAGAAAUUAUUUCCCAAAGGUAAUAUUGUAGUCGGUGGAUUUUACAUAUUCAAUCAAAUGUUCAGAUUACAUUGAAUUAUUUCCUUCUUUAUUUUUGAACUUGGCUCCUGGAGGGGAUUCUUUCUCUCCAUUUUUCAUAGUACACAUCUGGAUGAAUGACACGUGUCUUCAUUUAUUAACAAGUGUUAAGAUUAAUCAAAUUUAAAAUAAUUAUAUCCCUUCUUAAUAAAUAAAAACACAUAUCAUAUAUUAGAUGUGCAUUGUCAAAAAUGGAAAAAGAAUCUAUUGGAGAGGAGCUAAAUCCCUUUAUUUUCUUUUUCCAUUACAUCUUAGCGUCAUACUAAGACUCUUUCUUAGUAACGGAGAAAGAAGGAAAGAAAAACGAGCAAGAUGACCACCAUGGUCUCUUUUCUCUGUUUAUGUUUAUGUCUUUUCGGCUUUUUUUCGAUAAGCUAUCAAGCGGAAAACCCAAAACAAAGAAAACCGAAACAAUUACCUACUCUACACCUUGAAUAUGUUUAUUCUUCAGUUUUCAUGGUCUAACGAGAAAAGUACAAAAAAGCUGUUGAAACCUGUGUGAUCAUGCACUAACCUCAUUCCAUUGUAAAUCAAAGAAUAUCCCUAUGAAGAUUACUUCAAAACAAUUUGAACAAUGUUAAAGCGAGCCAAAUGUAGCAAAUAUGCGAGUUUCAUUAUUCACAUCUAUUUUCAUUUGCACUGACUGAUAGAUAUGAGAUUAGCACGUCAAUUAUAAUCGGCACUCCAUAUAACAACGUGCCCAUGGCUUCAAUCCAAUCUUAGGGUUGGUCAAUCAUAUUGUUUCACAAAUUAAUCUGAAAGAGUCUAAAAGUGAACUGGGCAGUAAAUAUACUUUAUCCUUACAGCUAAGAUAAUAGAUACGCUUUUUUCUUCUAAUAAUCAAGUAACAUAGAGCUUGUUGGUGUGAAGACUAAGCCAUCUGUUAAUUACAAACACUUAGUAGUCUAAUAGUCAAUCGGGCUGUAAUUAACUUUACAUAUUUUACCCUAACAGCUAAGGAGAUAGAUGCAUUUUUUUCUUUUAAGAACCAAGUAAUUAACAUUGUCCUUAAGCCAUCUGUCAAUUGUAAACAAUUUUUGUGGAUUUAUGAAAAGAACCACAGCUAUGCAUACUAUACAUUUGCUUAUUUCUUGUUUUCUUUCGCUUAAGCAGCCUGCUCAGGAGACAAACUAUAGGGAGAAAUCCCGAAGUUAAUGUAACUUAGGGCACAUUCUGUGCUCUAUAAAUAUAAAUAAGAUUCAAACUCCCAACUUGUCAUUGAAGAAAGUAUUAAAUUCAAAUGUUUAAAUAGGUUGGAAUAUCAUUAUUUAGAAAAUGUACAAAGAAUCAGUAUUGUCCAUAUGUCCUUUACACGACUUAACUUUUCUCUUCUAUGGAUAUAAAUUUCUAUGUCAUGUACAAAGAUUAGAUCUACGUACCAAGAUUGCAUUAUGAAAUUAAACUAUGCUGUUUUACCGAAAUUGCGUGACGUUGGCUCAUGUUCAAACUAAUCAAAAAGUUGAGAAAGUCAUUUCCUUCGCCUUAGCAAUUAAAAAUUCGCGAUAGUAUGAUAGUAUAUGAGGAAUCUAGGAAGGUUUAAUUUUCUAUAAAUCCCUUCUCAGGUAUUCAUUGAAGUCCACUACUUUGUUCAUGGUAAGAGAUGACAUCUUUUUCCUCAACCUUCUUGCAAUUUGCCAUUCUCCAAUUCCUCUUGUACAAGGUCCUCUGCUGUGAAGGACCUGUGGAUCCAUCCAAGGGCUUCAUUUCUUUGCCUUUUAAUACAUCAUUUUACCACAUUCAGAAACCAUAUGAUGUGCCUGUAGAUCAAAGAUACAAGUUCGUAGAUGGAGUUCACUAUUUGUGGGUAUUUUCAACCGAUAAACCACACACUCCCACUAGUCAUACAAAACCUCGAACUGAGAUUGGGAUACAGGUAUGAAAAAUUCUAUUGCCUAUCCAUUUUUGACAAAAAUAUGCUCAUGUAGUACCGUCAAUGUAGAAAAAUGUUCAUACCAGUAGGUUUGGAUACAUAUCACGUAACAUUCAUAUAAUUUUCAGAUACUCUGAAAUUCUUUCGAACAUCCGACACCAAUAUGAAUUUUAUUUUCGCCAAUUCUUGUAGGGGUAUAACUAUUCUUCAGGUGUUUGGCAAUUUGAUUUUUACGUGCCAUCGGGGACAUCAGGUGUCUGCAUCAUGCAAGUUUUCGGGGCAACUGCUCCUCAUGCCACAACUCUGAUGCUUAGGGUUUACAAUGGCUCACUCUUUUACUAUACUGAUUCUGUUCUGGUUCCAAGCGUCUAUGACAAGUGGUUUCAUCUCAAUGUGGUUCAAGAUGUUUUAGCUGCAAAGGUGAAGGUUUUCAUUGAUGGUUGUCUAAAGAUUGUCGCAGAUGGCCGUGGAGGCACCUCACAUACUUUCAAAUGUGGUGUUUAUGCUCAAAAUGAUGAUUCUUAUCGCAUGGAAUCACGAUGGAAGAACAUCGAAAUUCUAAAAAUAAGAGAUUGAUGUUGUAUUUAAGAUGGUUUUUCUUUUGUAAUGCGGAAUAAUAUAGUGGUUCAUUAGUGAUUAAACAUUAUUGGUGUUUGUUUGUUGUGUUGUUGUUUGAGGAAAUUAUACCAAAUGGGAAAUUAAAUUCUACAAGGUCAUUACUUAGAUUACCAUAUCUACUUUGAUGUCAAUAUUGACGGGUUUUCACUUUAAGUGCAAGUUUAAUUCCGAUUUUACACCCGUUGGACUGCAAGUAUACAGGUCGCAAUUUUAGUACAAGAUGCGUAUCGGGUCGAUCCCACGAGGAGCAAUUUAAACAAUUACUAAGCCCCUGUUCUCUCUAUUAUUUAGACUUACAAUUAAUUUUGAGCAGAGAAAAUCUAAUGCUGUAAUCUACAAAUCUGAUAUACAAAUCUAGUUUAACAAAUGCUGAAUGCAAAUAGAGAAAUUUCACUUAAUGAAGAUUCUAGGGAUGUAGAUUCCACUUAUGGCAUAAACUACACAAAUGAAUGGAUUUACUUCUUGCUAUUAUUCUUGCUUAACCAGAGAUUUAUUUCCAAGAUUACCAAGUCUCAUUUUCAUGAUGAAAUGGCUUAGAGCAAUAUAGAUUUCCCUAUUUUCAUGGUGAAAUACUACUACUACUCCGUUUUAUUUCAUGAAAUGCUCAAUAAUCCACCUAAGUGUAUCUCUAUUUUCAUGAACAUACAACUCAAGCACUACUCAUGUGUUUCAAUUGUUAUUACCAAUUCUCAUUGAAUAAUAACACUAUAAACAUGCUAUUGGUGAUCAAUCAAUAACAAGAAAUCACAGCUACACAAGUAGACAAGUUAACUCAAGAUAUAACAAGUGUAAAUCACAUUCAAUUAGUAUUAUUUAGCCAUAAGUUUCAUCUACUCCCUAGAUGAAGGAGUUUAGCUACUCAUGAAUGAUUUAACAAUCAAAUUCACAAGUUUAUUACUGCAAAACAUCAUAAAGUACAAGUAUAAGAAAGAUAAAAGAAAGCUUAGCCAAUUGAAGGUGAAGCUCUCCAAUUCCUGCUAUGUUCUUGCACAAUAUGAUUACAAGUGAAAACUCUAAAUGCUUCUCUAAGAACUCUUAACUAGAGAGAAAACUUGUUGCAAGAAGGAAAACUAGCUACGUCUGGUCAUCCAGGCUUCUCCCCUGUAUUUCUGCAUAAAAGGUGGUAGAAAUUCCAUUCCUCUCACUUCAUAAUUUCCUCCACUCAGAUUUUGUAAAAAGAAGUCAAAGAUAUGAUGUUUCCUUUUGUCCACACUCAUUUGGUCUUCUCUUUUAUUGCAGAAGCAUGUGCACCGAAUUCCCUUGCAUCUUAUAGCUGGAAAGUGGUAUGCACACAAGAGAAUUGACUGAGUCAAAUUGCAGAAUUUCGGCUAUAAAACGCGCCUACACAAAACGCGGUAUAAACUCGCGUUUUGUCUACUCGCGUUUUCACUCUAGCCUUAUUUCAACUGCGAUUUUCUCCAUGAUAAAGGCCAAACUAGCUUUUUUGCAAAACACAAAAGUUGUAGCCCUUUGAGUUAGCUUUCCAAUGCUUCAAGAAUCAUCCAAAUCGGAGCAUUGUAGCCUGAGAUAUGAUCGAAAUACUGUCACCUGUUCAAACCUCUGUUUUAACUUCCGACCACAGAAUGCAGCUUCUGUAUUCCAACGUUUUUCCCAUGAAGAUGGCAGAAAUGGAUUUCGAUGUCUUCAUACGAAUUGUAGGUAUCUUUCUUAGCUUUAAAAUGGUAUAAAGAUCACCUCAAUCCGAUAAGUGUAGCUCCAGAUAUGGUCAAAAUACUGAAGAGUGUCAAAACUGACUUGUAUUGCAUUUCCUCACUUGAACGUUUUUCACUUCAUUCUUCUUGUUGCCACUUGAAUUCAUCACCAAAUCUCUAUUUUUUACCUCAUUUGACAUCCUUUGGUGAUUGAAUCAUCAUUCCUGCAUAAAAAUAAAGUUUUUACCAUUAAAAUCAAUAGAAAUGCAAUAUUAUCCACUUUUACCAAAAAUAUAUAAUUUUACCAAAAACCUCUUUAUUUUAUUUAUAAAACUAAAUAAUCAACUCAAAAUUAACUAAUAAAAUGCACUUAAAAAUACGUAAAAUAAACUCUUAUCAAGGGAAACCCUUUUGGUUUACGCUAAAGUCAAAGGAGUCCCUUCUCAUUUCAAAAUAUCCGCAAAGAUUUUCAACCCUGGGGAGGGUCACAGAGAAGAGGAUGCUAUAUUAUAAGGAGUCUUGGGAAGGGGAUUUUGGGGAAGGGAGAUCCCUCCUGCUGUUAUUUAUUUCUAUGGUAUGCCUAUUACUGUUGUUGCUACUCCUUGGCGGAUUUUGACAUGUUUGGAAGGUGAGUUUUUUGGGGGUUUGUCUAAAACUUUACUAUAACUUACUGUAGAAGUUUUUUUAAAAUUUUUUAAGUGUGUUUAUUUUUGAAUAUUUUGAAGUGUAUAAUUUAAAAUUUUUGAAAAUUUUUUUAAGAUUACUGUAGUUAAAGUUUUUAAAAAACUUGUAGCAGACAAACUUGACAAAAAAUUUGGCUCCCAAACAAGGCAAUCUAUGUUGGCAGGAUUCAAACCUUGACUGAUACUCCAAGGAGGAACUGAAGUUCCCCUGGUGGCCACCGGACCAAGGUUCCGUGUUCACGAGUAUGUUAACUAAUCUAGAAAAAUGGAGGGAAACUAUCUAAAUUAACUGAAAUUGAGUUACUCAUACUUGAUUGACGAUCAAAGCAUAACUUGGGUGCUAGGGAAAAACAAAAAAUGGAUAAUAGCUACAGGAUAUACACGAUAUUAAUAAUUAGUGACAGCAGUAGGACUAGUAGAAGCGGGAGUGAGCGUGAUUUUGUUGUCUUCACUCCACAUUUGGCACAUUGUGAUCAUUUUUAUUUAGUUUUUUUUUAUUAUAUAGCUUCAUUUUUCUCAAAAAAAAAGAGAGAGAAAUAAUGAUAAAGUAAGUAAAGAAGAAUUUGGGGAAAAUUAGAGAGGGUAGGGUUUAUAAGUUUUGGACAAAACCAUAUGGGCAGUCCACACUAAUUCAAGCAUAUGAUCUGUGUAUGAUUUUUCAACAAAAAUAUGACUAGAAAAAUCUUCAAGGACAAAAUAGUUGUGUUUCUUAUUUGUAAGAAAAUAAAAUGCUUCAUACAUUUACUAUGAUUGAAGACAAUUUUCAUAUGACUUUGAAGACGAAAAUAUUUGCAAGUAAUUAGUUUUAUCUGGUGUCAUUGUUUUAAAUAUGAGCCGGAGAGGUUCCGAACUCGAAUAUCUCAUUUUCACUUCCUCCUCCCUCCCGUACCUUCUCCCGUAUCACUCAAGUUUCGACCCGUCUCUCGUGACAAGUAAUUGGUUGACUCAUCGGUUGAACCAGGAACCACCCAGCCACCUCCUUCCCGACUUUCUCAAUUGACCCGACACAACUCGAAGUCGAAUUGCCAAUAAAACCACAUUCCGUCUCAGAAUUCCAUCCAAGUCCCAGCCCAUCCUGCUACCAAACAAACGCAUGAUAUACACCACAAUCCCCACCGAUUUCCACCUCUCAAAAACCCUAACAACGACAAUAGUUUACCUCUCACACACACUCCCAUAGUAGGGUUCUGCUAAACCAACCGGCGGCACCGCCACCAGCAUUCCCACGUCGGGGAACACUAGCAAUGGACUUCGACGAGUACGAUUAUUUGGAGAAAACCGUGGAAGAAACCAACGGUCCUCCGUCCAAAACGAAGGAGACUAAGGACUCCGCCGAGAAAGAGAGAGACAAGGAGAAAGGAUAUCGGAGAAAAGAGCGUGGCGACGAGGACGAAGGUGAUAUUGACGAGGACGAAAGAGAUCGGAAAAAUUCCUCCAGCAAAAGGUCCCGGGAGAUGACGAAAACGGCCGAGAUAGAGACCGCGAGAGGGAACGAGAUAGGGAUAGGGAGAAGGAGAGGAGCUCGCUGCACCGGAGUCGAGAUAGGGAGAGUGAGAGGAGUUCGAGGGACAGGGAUAGAGACAAGGAGAAGAGGGAGAAAGAGAGAGAUAGGGAUAGGGAAAGAGAUAGGGAGAGGAGAGACAGAGACAAGGAGAAGGAGAGGGAGAGGGAUAGGGACAGGGACAAGGAGAAGGAGAAGGACAGGGAGAGGAGGGAUAGGGAAAAGGAGAAGGAAAGAGAUAGGGAAAUGGAGAGGUCGAAGGAAAUGGAGAGGUCAAGGAGGAGCCGAAGCAGGUCCAGGCUCGAUCGUGAAAGGGAGAGAGAGUUGAUCAGGGAACGAGAGCGCGAGCUCGAGAUGAGGGAAAGCAGGUGAUGCUCAGUUUUAACUUGUUUCUGCCGUUGCAUUUUAUAGAUUUCUCUACACAGUUAUGCUUACAUACAUUGAUGGUGCUUUACUUGGCAAAUAAUUCUUGGUUAAUUACGUUUAGAGUGCUUUCAGAUGAGGCAUUGCUUGCUAAUGAUUUGAGAAUUUUUUUCCUCGUUGAUGGUUAAGAUUCUUUGCACUUGCACGGGGACUUUGAUAUCAUUAGAAUCACAUGAUGGGUAAGUGAAUUUGUUUGCUUGGAGUGGUUUUUCGUGAACUGAUAUGGAAAAUUGGAACAUAUGAUUUAUGAAGUUCGGUUUUUGAUGGUUUAACUUCACUGACUUAUGAAGGGCCUUUUCGAUUAAAGGUUAUUUGCCCUACCUAUACUUAUGGAGGUGGCUUAUUUUAAUUAUGUGUGUUUUUGCUUAUUGUUUUUGCAUCACCAAUCUUGGAGUUUCUCAAUCAAAUGGACUCCGAGUAAUUGCAGCAAAAAAAAUGUUGAGUUCAUAUGUAGACAUACAUAUAUAGCACACGUGUGUGUACACAAUUGUUUCCAGUGUGGCUUGUUCUGUUAUAUGCAUGUGUAUCCAAAUCUCUGCCAACAGAUGAAAUCACAGAAAGAAUAUGUAGAAUGGCUAAGUGCAGAAAAAAGUCUGAGUUUAUGCAUGAAGAAUAUAACUUUCUAACUUGGGUUGAAAUCGUAGAUGCAUCUUAAUGGGCUAACAUGCGGAAACUUCUUCACGGCUUGUCUGAAGAAAGUGGCUUUUCCACAUAUUGGUUUUGAUAAGGUCUGUUGUGUUUCUCUUUUCCGGCCUUAAGAUUUGGCUCACUCUUCAAUCCUUCUAAUGUUUUUUGCAUACCUGGAUUAAGCUUGAUUUCUUACAUCUAAGCUGAGAUGUUGAUCAAUGAUGUAUUCAAUUUUUAGGUUGGCAACGCAUGUGGUGAGGCUGUAUCAGUUUUCCAGCCUUUUGUUCACUGUGAAGACGAAAAUGCCUUAUCCCCAUAAUUCUUGUUCCCUCUUUGCAGUGAAACAGGGACCAGAAUAGCAAAUCCUCUGUUUGAAUGACUUUUUUGAUUCAAAAUAUCAGUGAACUCGAGUGUCCUAAUGAACACAAUCUUAAUUGAAGUAUAAAUAAUCAAUGGUCUUAAAUCAUCCAGAAUAGUGAUUGGAGUGAACUUAUGAACGUUAUUCCAGUCAUUUUCCUUGCUGAAAUCAUAAGCCAGAUUUUAGGUUUCUGGUUUACUUCUUGUUAUCCCCCCUGUUUUUCUUUGAUAUUCCUUCUAAUCUUAAUUGUACUUAAGCUUAAAACUGUUUUUUAAUUUGAGUCAUCCAUUGCUGUUGGGUAGAAGUGACUUGGUCUACAUGAAUAAGGGGGCUUUAGUUGACAAUUAGCGAAAACAUUUAGUUUCUAAUCUGCUUGUUAUUGAAGGUGGAUUGCUAAUGAAGUAUAAAAAUUUGCUAAGCAUUGAAAAAUGAUGUGCUUGUUCUCACUCUCUUGCUGACCACUGGCUGAGGAACUUUAUACAAUCAUAGUCUAGAAUGUUUUAUGUUUAUACUUGUUAAAUUUGAAGUUGGUAUUCGUUUUUGGUAUUUCUGUUAUCAAAAAGUUUGAUUUAUGGAAAAGUAGGGUGCUGGCUUGGAAUUUAAGGAGGUUGAUUAUCUCUGUGGUAGGGAGGAGAACAUGAUGUUGAGGUUGAGAUAAGUUUUUCUACAAGAAAAUACACCUAUAAGGCUUUAUAUGUUAAUAUGUUCCUCUCAUUGUAGGGUUUAUACUUACUAUUUUCUGAGUCAUUUAUGCAGGAGAUUUAAAGAAAAGAAAGAAGCGGUGGAACCUGAGGCUGACCCAGAAAGGGAUCAGAGAACAGUAUUUGCUUACCAGGUGGAUGGCUUAACUUCCCAGAUUUUUAUAGAUCAAGUGUUACAGGAAUUACUUGCCUGUUCGAAGUUGCUUCUUUUUUGUAGAGGAGAGGCUUAGGAUUAGACAAUAUUGUUUGCUGAUGUAUACAUAUUUUGAUUGCAGAUGCCCUUGAAGGCAACUGAGAGGGAUGUUUACGAGUUUUUCUCAAAAGCAGGAAAGGUUGGUGUUCUUCUGUCUAUUGUUUGGAUGGAUAUCAUCAUUUUAUGUAUUUAUGUGGUGUAUUAUAACUCCAACCUUUGCUGUAUUUCUUUAAGAAUAAAUGAUUCUCAAUUUCUGUUUAUGCUAAUAUUCGUACACUGUUAUGCAUAUACAUAAGGGAAAAAUCUCACGGUCUGAGUGCGCUGAAUUGCAAAAGAUUCAUGUCUCAUUGCAUGGAAUACAUGGUAUUAGUUGCACGUUUUGCUUGUUGCUACUGAUUACUACUGAUUUUUGAUUAUAACAUAAUAAUUCUUGUGGCUUGUUUGAGUAGAUAUGUUUGUAUGCAUAUGAAUUCAAUUUGUGAAGAAUGACAAGUUAUAAGAUCCAUUUCUUUGCUCUUUAACUUUUUUUUUCUUUUGUGGAUCAAAUUAUUUGGCAUUUCUUCUCAGUUUUGCUAUUUUUAAUUUCCAGGUGAGGGAUGUACGUCUUAUCAUGGAUCGAAAUUCGAGGAGAUCAAAAGGAGUUGGGUAUGUGCUCCUUAUGUAUCUUUCUCCUUUUCUGGUUGCUCUCUAUUUCUACCUUUUUUUAAUAUUAUAAAAUUGUAGUGCUGUCAAGUCUUACUUUUGGAUAAUGUUCCAAAAGGAGUUCAAGCUAAAUUCAUGGAUUUGUUAGAAGGCCUUCAAAUGUAGUUAGCUGGUCUCUUUUGACGCAUCUUUGAGAUACGUUGGUAUUCCCAUGAUUUUGAGCUUGAUUCACUUUGGGGCUUUUUUUUUUUUGAUAUUCUUGGUUAGUUAUUACUUAAUACUAUUAAUCUCUUAGUUCUGAGCCUUUUAAGUUGGGAUUCAUCUUCCACAGCGAUUUCUUUUACAACCAUUGGUUUUCCAACUUUUUUCUUGACUUCUGUGUCUUGCAGUCUUGAUAUUGAUUCCCUUGAUACUGCAGGUACAUUGAGUUCUUUGAUUCCAUGUCUGUGCCGAUGGCAAUUGCUCUAUCUGGGCAUCUACUUCAUGGACAGCCUGUUAUGGUUAAACCAUCAGAGGCAGAAAAGAACCUUGUUCCAUCAAAUGCUUCCAGUAAUUCAAGCGUUGUGGGCCCGUAUGGUGCAACAGAUAGGAAACUCUAUGUUGGAAAUUUACAUUUCAACAUGACUGAAUUUCAGCUUAAACAGGUAAGCUUUGCAAAUUAUGUUUUACCAUAGUAAGCAGUUGGAUGAAAGCAAACUUCAUACCAUUGUUCAAUUAGUGUAGGAGAUGAAAGUUGUAGGAGUUGGGGAAAUUGCUCCUUUUAGAAGUUAUCAGUCUACAAGGCACUUUUUCCCCUCCAUAAUCAUCGAUCACCUCUGGUCUUUGGAGGUAGAUGGGUUUUUAACUCUUGCAUCUUUUUUUAAGUUGAACGUGUUGGCAUAUCAACAGAUUCACUAAUUCUUUGAGGUCUGCGAGUUUAGGUGAAGCAAAAUAAAUUUUAGCUUUAGGUAAUUCAAAGGUAAAUAUCCUUGCCACUUCCUUUAUGUAUCAGAAAUUGGCCAUGGGAUGAUCUCUCCUUUUAUCUGACUUGGUCUUUUUAAAGCUUUUUGUCACUGGCCUAUUGGACUUUAAUCUUUUACGCAAUGGUCAUUAGCUUGUAGUCCAGCUUUUAUUGCACCUCCUGUUUAGCAGUGUUUUGUGGUAUCUGGCUUCAUUUGCUAAAUCUGGUAACUAUUUAUUUGCAGAUUUUUGAAGCAUUUGGCCCGUUGAACUUGUACAGCUGCCUACUGAUCCUGAGACUGGACACUGCAAAGGUUUUGGCUUUGUUCAAGUCGGUAUUGGUUAAGAUUUUGAUGUCUUGAUUCUCUAGCUAAUUAUACCAGUUCAAUGAAUCCUUAAUUCUGACGAUGUUGAUGACAUGAUUAUUAUUUUUAGUUUGCUCAACUAGAACAUGCAAAGGCUGCGCAAGUUCUAAAUGGGAAAUUGGAGAUUGCUGGUCGAACUAUUAAGGUGCGCUUAUGAAAUUCAAGCUUCAUUAGAUGGUUAAUAUAUUGUACUUCAUUUUUUAUAAUUUUUAUUGAUGCAGUGUCUAAUUCUAAUGUUUUUGAGUGCAGGUUUCAUCUGUUACGGAUCAUGUUGGAGUGCAAGAUUCAGGGCAGAAAACUGCCGAUUUUGAUGAUGAUGAUGGGGGUGGAUUGGUUAGUUGAUUUUGUGAAACUGCAGUUUUUUAAAUGCCCUAAUUUUGGAUAUAGUUAAUUGAUAAUAUAUCUGUUUUUAAAUUUUUUGCCAACCUAGUAUUCCCGUAAUAAAUCAACAUUUAUUUGAAUGUAUGUUUUUGGAGAGACAGGACUGAGGGUACUUUAUGUUAUAAUACAGUGGCUGAUAGGUGGCAAUAGCAGCAUAUCCUGGGAUUAUAGAAUAUUACUGUGGUGUUGAUUAUAGAAUAUUACUUUUAUCUUAUUGGGAUUCUGGAACUUGUUUUCUUAAUUAGUAUUAUCUUUUCAUCACGUCUCUAGUAGGAUGGACUACUUAGCAAAUGCAUUUGAGACAUUGCUUGAUGGAAUUGAUAAUUAACGAAUGUGUCGUUUGGUGCAUUAACAGUGUAAAUCACUAAAUUGUUCAAAUUCAACAGCAAUAUGAUGCAUGAAUGUUGUCUAAGUGGGUUUUAGGUUUCAACUUGUGAAGUAUGAUCAAUUUUCUUUUGGAUUUUCAACGAUUUCUAUUCAAGAUGUUAAAUUAUAAUUUAAAAUAGUCCUUGAAGGCAAUUAUUCUGAAAGCAUCACUGUUCUGUUAAAAAACAGUUUAGCUUUAAGUUGAGAGAUAUUGCUUGUUGCAUCACACACAUUGAGCAAAUUCUGAAGUAACAAAUCAAAUUGAGAAUUUGACUGCUCUGAAAUUUGUUGAAUCUAGUAUAUUGAUUCCUUUUAAUUGCUAAUAUUAAACACUUAUUUAUGGUUUAAACUUAUUCAGGCUUUGAAUGCUCAAUCAAGAGCAAUGCUAAUGGCAAAACUGGAUCGCAGUGGGAUUGCGUCAAGGUUUGUCUGUAGUAUUAUGUCCUUUUUCUCUGGAAAUUCACUUUUUUGCUGCGGAAGUUUGAUAUCUUUGCCUAUUCAGUGUUGCUGGUUCCCUUGGAGUACCUGCGCUUAAUGGCGCAACUCCUGCACAACAAUCCAUAACCAUGCCCAUGGUUGCACCUACAGCAAUGUCUGCUCCGGUACUUCCAGCACAAGUUUUAAUGCCCCCAGAGCCCAUUGGCAACCCAAGCGAGUGUUUACUUUUGAAGAAUAUGUUUGAUCCUGCAACUGAGGUUUGUUAAUUGUUUGAUGAUCUAUGUACAAGUACACAUACUUGCCAUACGUGCAUGGAAUUCCUAAUCAAAGAUUUAUGUGUUUGUCAUUGCCUUUCCUUUUGCUUAUUCUUGGAAUUUUGUUUGCAGACGGAUCCAGAAUUUGAUUUGGACAUCAGGGAUGAUGUGCGUGAAGAAUGUUCAAAGUAUGGCCCGGUGAAGCAUAUCCUUGUGGACAAGUAAGAAUCUUGACUCGAGUGUAUGCUUGGUAUUUGACUUCUGAUGUAUCCGCAACCAGAAAUCAUUUACUUGCUGAGAUGAAUACUAGUUGAAGAUGGUUGGCAUUUCAAAAGGAGGAGGCUCUCAGAAAGAUUGUUUAAACUUGAAACAGGAUUUUUAGCAGAGUCCUAUUAUUAAUUUUAGCUUUAUAGACUAAAGAUUUUCAUUUAUCAGCAAAGCUCUAAAAUUAACUGCCAAAGCAACAUUUUCUAUGAUAGUAGCCAAUUGUCAGGUGACAAUUAUCCUUGGUGCAAUAUGUCAAAUAUAUGGAAAGAGAAUAAAAAAUGUGUUGGGUGUGAUCUUGUCUUUUACUGUUAAGGUGGAAAGAAAUUCAAGUAGGUAGGAGUGCAGCUAUAAGGGGCAUGGAAAAGGCAAAAAGAAUUGAGGAUACCUACCUUUUCCUGGCACAAGGGAGGUCAGCGAAGAAAAACAAUUAAAAUUUGAGAGUAUAAACUUUUGAGCGACAGACAUCCUAUUGCAUUGUAUGUCUACUUGUUAUGUUCCCGUGCUUUUACCAUUCAGUCUAUAAAUCAUAAUAAUGGUCCACUUCUCAAGAAAUUAUGAAGCUUAGCUGAAGAUAAUUAACAGAUAUUUAACUCCUGUCAGUUGAGAACCGGCCCCAUGUACUCUCUUUUCCUUGGUAUUUCCUAUUUUUAGCAGCAAAUUUGAGCUUUGUCAGUUGUUGCAUUGUAUUAUUUAUGCUUGAUUUUGUCUUCCAUUUUAUGUCAUUUACAGGAAUAGUUCUGGUUAUGUUUAUUUUAGGAUCAAAGAUGUUCAAAUCCACCUUGCAAUGAUAAAGGGAAAGCCAACAUCAACUAAAUGAUAUGUAACUAAUCAGCACUUUUUGGAUGUUGCUAAUAAGUACCUAGCUUAAUGUUGCCAAUCGGCACCUUUUGGAUGGUUGUGUUGCUAAAUUUGAUUAGUAGUAGUUUUUGUCAGAUUAGUAGCUUUUGUACAUUGGUAUUUGGAACUCAUGUAUCUUGAGAACAAGCCAGCGUGAACAUGACAUUCUGGCCAUUUUGUAAUCAUUUCUGGCAAAUGACAAAACAAUGUCUAUUUGAUGGUUGUAAUGAAUUAUGAAUGUAUCUUUUGUACAUUGGUUCGAAGCCAGCAAUAAAUUCUUCUUUUAUCUUUUGGUAUUCUUUUAUGUUUUCGUAUGUUACCAUUUGUUUUGUUUUACUAUCCAGCAUUACAUAUGAUGUUUAGGUUUUAUAGUAGCUUACUUCCAUAUUUUGAAGUUCAGUUUUCAUUCUGUUUUCUGAUGGUUCUGGAUUGUGGAAAUUAUCAUAAAUAGGUGCUUUCAUAUUUCUUUACAUCUGCAAUGCAAGGAUUGCAGUGAAUUUCCUAUUCUGAUUUUUGGGACUGUUUAAUCCAAUGAUAUGUAACCCAUGUUCAUGCAUAAAUUGGAAAUUACAUAUGUGCUCUUUCAAAUCAAGAUUCAUGAUUUUGCUGUCAAAUGAUUCUUCAUUCAACCUCUCAAAUUGAAUUCAUUUUCCGUGGAGAACUCAAUAUCCAGUUCACUUGUAAAUGAACUUUAAAAACACAACUAAUUAAAAGCAGAUUGGAACAUCCAAUAUAUUCAUUCAUUCAAAAUAAACAGAAUGUACUAGCCUGAUAGUAGAUUACAACUUACACAUUCACCCAUUCCAACAAAAAAUACCAAAAUUACAAUCUAGAUGAAUGUCUUGAGUCUCUAUUCAUUCAAGAAAACAGAAUGUACUAGCCUGACAGUAGAUUACAACAUACACAUUCACCCAUUCCAACAAAAAAUACCAAAAUUACAAUCCAGAUGAAUGUCUUUCAUCUCUAAGUUUAGACAGUACCUAGCUUAGCCUAAUACUUAACACAUUUUCCUUGAGCUGCUUAGUUGAUGCCAAGACUGUCCAACCUUCAACCUUUUACACCAGUAGCACAAUAACCAGCAGAAGUACCAACAACAAAAUUGCUAACAAUAAUUCUCUUUCCCUUGCUCUUAGCCUCUCAAUUGUAGCAUUCUUAGAGUUCAUGCUCCGUAGUAAUCCAGAAAUCAGGGCUGUUGACCUUCUACACAUUUUCAGAUCAUGCCAUUCAAAAUAAUCACAUCCUUUUCCUCUGUCACCCUUCACAGCCAACAUCAUAGAGCUUUAGCACAAAACUCAGAAAUAGAGACAGAAAAGAGUAAAUCAGAAACAGAGACAACCAUACAUUCUUCAUUGCACAAGCGAAAUAUCUUCUCCCGGGAUUGUUGUCUGUCCAAGAAGUAACCAUUAUUGCUCGCUGCUUGCAGUCGCAAUUUUUCACUGGUUCCAUGAGGAGCUAAAUUGAAAAUAGAAGAAACUCGAUAGUGAGUUUUUGCCCAGAUCUUGCAACUUUUUGCCCGAAUGACAAAUUUUUUUGUCUGAUUAGAAUGGGAUUGAGGCUCCUAGGGUUUCUUCUUGAGCUGGAAGAAAGAAGAUGAGGAAAGAAGGAAGUAUACGACAGCAAAUGUUUCUUUGUCUGAUAUUCAACCUUUUUGGUAGGCUCCACUCCUUGAUUAGUGAAUUUUUGCAAUUAAUGUCUUUGUUUAAUAUGUCCAAAGGUAAGACAAAGCUGAAAAUAAUAAAAAAACGUGUUUCAGAAAUUAAAAAAAAUUGAAAAAGGGGCUUUAGUGCCGGCACGUGAUCUCACGUGACAUGGUUCCAGUUGAAAUUGAAGAAAUUCCGUCAAUUGUCCACUUUUAGCGCAAAAUUGAAUAGAUUAGGGACCAAAAUUGAUUUUCGAAAUAGAUUAGGGACUAAUUCCGCGCAUACACUAUGGAUUGGGGACCAAAAUUACAAUUCUCCCAUAUUUCUUUUGGCUUAACAAUUUGCAAGUGUUCUAACUCUGAUGAUGUAAUUUGCAAUAAAUUUUCGUUUGGCUGUUAAAACUUCAUAAAGAAUUUGAGUCAGGAUUGAACUUUCCAGUAGCAUUCACAUAAAAUCGCGUUUAGAGUUCCUUCACAUUUUAUGAAGGCUGGUGAUGAUUGUGUGCUAAUGCUUAUGAGCCACAUCUAUCUUUUCUUUUUGUGGGAAAAUAACGUAAGGAGGAAUGCUACUGUUUGUUAUCCUGGUAACUGGAAUUUCGAACCUGUUAAAGCUUGUAUUUGCAUGACUUAACCUCGUUAUCUCGACAUGUAAGCCAAUGAAACCCACCAUGAUCAUUCACCGGAUGGUUCAUGCAAGAAAGGACAGAUACAUACCAAAAACAAUUUGAGGAUAGGCUAAGAAGAAACAAUUGGGAUAAGCCAGAUGCUUUUUCCUAAUACUUUUAUUCAAAUGUUAUUGACAUUAAAUUCAAGAGCGAAUUGAAGGGAAUUCGUAUGUUCCAAUAACUAAACCCACCUUGACAUCGAGUUUUCUCCCCCCACCUCCCAAGGGAUAGCAAUUGAGGCGGACGGACACUGCCCGUUAUAAUAAUUAUAUUAUUAAUUAUACUAAUAAUUAUGUAUUUAUAUUAAUAUAAAUUAUUGAUUAAUUAUACUAAUAUAUUUAUACUAAAUUAUUAGUUACACUUUUUAUUAACUAUACAUUUAAGCUAAAUUACUAAUUAAAUUUAUUUACUAAUUAUUUAUUUUUAUUAAUUGUAAGCUUUUUCCCCCACAGGUGCUCGUGAGGGAAGUGGAGCAGAGGGUAUGUUUGGGCAACGUCCUUCCUCCGCCCCAUUAUCAUUUCUAUCCCCUCCCCUCUCCAACAAAAAAACCCUAACCUGCCUAGGAACGACAAUAGAGGCAAGUGCCCUGCGGGGGAGUAAUGAGGCUAGGGGUGGGGCAGAGGGAUUUUCUUCCCCUACUUUAAAUGGGGUGGGGCAGGAGAGGUUACCCCCUGCCCCGUCCCCAACAUCACUAUGUAUAUAUAAAUUAGUUUUAAUUAGAAUAUAACUCUUAAUUAGCUAUCUAUAAUUGCAAUUAAUUAAUUUUUUAUAUUAUUUUAUAUGCUACUAAUUUGGGGGCUAUAAUCAUUGUUCUUAAAGCUAAUUUUUGACAACUCAAUUACUUAAGAAACAAACCUAAUCUCUCUUCUUCAAGUUCUAUUUCAUUUCUCCACCGCGAAAAGGUGUCAAUUGACCUACUGAAGUUGCACGUAACUAUUAGUAGCAAUAGUAACGGUACUAUCAAUAGUAGACUAGUAGUAAUAACUGAGAAAAAAGACUCAAAAAAGAAAAAAAAAGAAUUACCACAAAAUGGUCACGAUUGUGUUGAUUACUUAGUUUAGUGGCUAAUUUAUGACGAAAAAUCGUUUGAUGAUCAAAAGUCGACGUGAUCAAUAGUUUAAUGGCCGCCAAGUUUUAUUCGCCCUUUUUUGAUAGAUUUAUACAAAAAAAUUUUGAGUUAGUGAUUAGACGCACCUCAUUUAGAUUUUCCAUACAAUAGCCCAUCAAAUUAAUAUAUGUGCUAAUUUUUUGGGUCCAAUAGGUCAAGGAAAAGAAUAAGUGGAAUUCACCAAAAAAAAAUUAUUUUGAAAAAUUAUUGCAUGAAAAAUGAAGAGAAGUACAGACUUUUUAUAAAAUAAAAAAGAAAUGAGGUUUACAAAAAGAAAGCAAAAAUACAAAAUUAAAGAAAACGUAAAAUGAAAUUUAUUAGGUAUUUGGACCGUAUCAAAAUAGCCAUAACUUGUUUUAGUCCCACCCAUAUUGAUUGCAUGACCUUUGUAGAAAGUUGGGCGCAAAUUCCACCCAGCCCACCCAUUAACCAUCUCUAGGACCAUGUACGUCAGCCGGUCAAGUCAAGUUUAUUAAAUUAAGCAAACCGAUGUCAGUCUUUUGACUCUUUUCUACCAUAAGCAUCUUAAUCAUAAAACAUUCUUUUACUAUUUUCUUUUUUAUUUCGAGGCAAUGGAAACAACGAGGGAUCCAAAUCAAACGUGAUGGGAAUGACAGGAAAAGUCUCUUUAAAAACUAGCAUUAAGGGCGUUAUAAUUAAGGGUGGCAAUGUAGCGGGGUUGAGACGGGAUAGAUGCAGGUGAUUGUCAAAUAACUUUCCAAAUAACUUCUCCGAUCCCCCGCCUCCUACCUCCCACCUUGCCCUCACCCCGUUUCUCCUGUGGCCCUACGAGGGAAGAAAUCAAUGUAUCAUAUUUAACAAUCUGUUCAUGUACAGCACAAUUUUACCGUUCAUUCUAUGUCAAAAUAUUCAAUAAAGACAUACUCAAGUACUCAAUUUUAGACCACUUAACGAAUUGCAAAUACUAAUAACUAAAAAAAAAAUUAGCAACCAUCAAUACCAUAAAAAUGAAAUUUAAAACAUCCGAUUAAGAUGUAAUAGAAUCAAGUCACAAUUAUAUUAUUAAAUAUAAAGAAUUGAAUUAUAACUAAGUUAUUAUAUUGUAUAUAUAUAUAUGUAUUAUAUAUACAUCUAUAAAUUUAAAUAUAUAUAUUUAUAUACAUAUAUAUAUAAAUUUAAAUUUAUAUAUAUAUAUCUCCUUUUUUUUUGUAUGUGGGGGACGGGACAAAAGAUGGCGCGGCCGCGCGGGUGUAUGUUACCCCCCCUCCCCAGGCCCCAUUUUAGGGCACCCUUAGUUAUACUUGUAACGAUGAACGAGAGGAAUAGAGAAAAACUCUACUAGGCGUAAUCCUCUGCCGUCCCAAAUUUGCUAAUAUUUCUUAUAGCUCACUAUUUUGCAAGUGUUCUAACUCUUAUAACUAUAUGUAAUUUGCAAUAAAUUUUUCUUUGGCACUUGUGAAGUACAUAAAGAAUUUGCUUCAGGAUUGAACUUUCCAGUAGCAUUCACAGAAAUUGCGUAUAGAGUUCCUUCAUAUUUUAUGAAGGCUGGCAAUGACUCUGUACUAAUGCUUAUGAGCCACAUCUAUCUGUUUCCUUUUGGAAAGUUAAAAAGAAACAAAAGAGGAAUGCUGCUGUAUUUGAUCCCAGCAACUGGAUUCUGAUCCUGUUAAAGCUUGAUGUUGCUUGAGUUAACCUGGUUGUCUUAAUCAUAUAAACCAACAAAAUCUACCAUCACUCUACCAAUUCAAUUUAAAGUUGCCAAAUAAAGAAUGAAGAAACAACAGGGAGAGCCAAGCCAGGCGGUCUUUCCAUUAUUUUUUUUAUGCAACAACUGUUAUUGACAUCAGAUUCAAGAGCAAAUGGGAGCAUUUCCAUUGGAGGGAAUUCAUUUGUUUCCCUUUGACAUCAAGUUCGAACUACUACUUCAAACCAAGAGAGUUCCAAUACACAGCAACAACAGAGGCCUUAUAGCAAUUUAUCAGUCACUUAGGGACUGGCCAGAGAAUUCGCCACGUCAACCACGAAUCGAUACCUGACGUCAGACUUGGCGAGCCGUUCCAUUGCUGAGUUAAUUUGAUCCAUG
rnacentral:lncRNA from 1 species